AUACCUCCACCUCAUCCUGUUUACAAGUACAAAUCUCCACCACACCCCCAGUACAAGUAUAAGUCACCACCACCACCUCCUCAUCCGGUAUACAGUCUCCUCCGCCACCACACACCCAGUUUACAAGUACAAGUCACCACCACCACCUCCUCAUCCGGUACCACACCCAGUUUACAAGUAUAAGUCUCCUCCGCCACCAGUUUACAAAUACAAGUCUCCUCCACCACCACCUCCAGUGUACAAAUACAAGUCUCCACCACCACCAGUUUACCACUACAAGUCUCCACCACAGUUUACAAAUACAAGUCUCCACCACCACCCCCAGUUUACAAAUACAAGUCUCCACCACCACCAGUUUACCACUACAAGUCACCACCACCUCCUCCCCCAGUUUACAAAUACAAGUCUCCACCACCUCCUCACCACUACUAAGCAAUUGCUUCUGAGGUAAUAACACUUGUUCAAUAUACCCACUUCUGCAUGAUAAAGCAUAUCUCUAUCAACACAAACUGUCAUGUCUAUCAUGCUAAGUGCCUUCACUUCAUCCACCAAAAUGACUGCUAGAAAAUUUUUUUUAUGUUACCAAAGAAAGGCAUCAUUUUUUCCCUCUGUUAUCAAGAACUUGUACAGUAUAUAGAUUAAAGAGUAUUUUUUUAACUAGCUUAUCAACUGAGAAAUGCAUAUAGCUGAUAGCCAGCUGAAUAUUUGCAGGCAAAGGAGAAGGAAACCAGUGUUUGAGACCUUCUUGAAGAUGUAGAAGCAUAAGAAUUAAAGCCCAAUGUGAAGAUGAUGAUUUCAAGUUUUUCUACGUUACCAUUUCUUUAUCUAAAUUGGUUGUAGCGCCUUAGUUCCUUUGUUUAUGGGAUUUGUAUCGUUUUACGUACCAUGCAGUACAUGUCAUGUUUGUAAGGUUUUCUAUCCUGCCGGCAAACCGCAGGUUCCAUGUAAUAAAUCAAUACUAUUUAUAUUACGACACUUUUCUCUGUUUCUCUUAUAUUUUGUCGUCUUUAAUAUUCUUAAUCAUAUUUUUAACAAAAAUAUUCAAACACUUAGGCAAUCUGGUCUAAUGCUAAUUGUAUGUUUUACUUUUCUUUUUCACCUGCUCCCCUUUUCAACUCAAAAGGAUGCAAUAGUUUGUGAUCACUGUUUAAGACGGAAGCAUGAUACUAAUGAAUAUCUCAUUGAAACUCAAGGAAACUAACAUUGCGAAAAGUGUAAAUCUUGAUUUGAUGCAACUAUUUAUUCGUGGAAUCUAUAGUUACAAAACUCAAAUUCUGACUGCGCCAUUGAUAAAUUAUUAAUGACGCUAUCAUCAUUAUUUAUCCCUAACUAGUUUCGACUACAACUGAACCCAAUAUUUUCCCCAUGAUAAAAGUUUUUGACUAUUUUACUGGCCUCUCUUCAAAUUUUAAAAAUUACACUAAUCUUCAUUGAGAUUAAUUAUCUUGUAACAUUUAAGUCCAAUUAAUAAUUAAAAAAUGAUAUUAUGAGAGAGAAAAUAAUAUAAUUUUAUCAUUGCCCCCCAUCUUGCUAUAUUAUUUAAUUAAUUUAAUAGCAACCCACACAUUAAAGAAAAAUACUAAAAUUUGCUGCUUUUCAUUAAAGAUCAAAUUGCAUAUGCCAUAAAACAUAGUAUAUCAUUCUAUAUGUUUCACUUAAUGUAAGAUCCCAAUUGUUCUUUUCAAUUACAAACCCAUUGUCAAUAACAAAUAACCAAAAAAUUUGCAACCAAAAUAUUACAAAAAAAAACUUCAACAUCAUAAAUAUUCUUACCACCUCUAGUGCAUUCACCCUCAUAAAAUAAUUCAAGACCCUACUGUCAUAAAAUGACUGAUCAACUCCCGUAAACCUAAUUUGACAACAUUUAAAUGGAGAACUUUAGCUAAAAGAAUUAUGGUCAAGCUAAAGAAAAAACCAGUUAUUUUCCAACAUAUGCAAUCAUUGAUCAGGGAAAAAAAAAAGAGCAAAAAGACAUCUUCAAUCAUUUAAUAGCUUACAGGGCAAAUUAACCCCUAAGCGAAAACUGGUUGCUCUAGAAUCAAAAUUUUACUUUAGUUACCCAGGCAACUUUUUUGUUGCUUUUUUUUUUUUUUUCCUUUAGUUUUGCCCCCUCUGUCAAGCUUAUAAAAUUAUUAAGAUAAUAAAAGUGCCUUGAAUAGUAUUAAUAUAUCCAUUGACUUGAGCUGUCGUCAGUUUGCGAUUCCAUGAGGCCUUUUCAAAGUACUCAGAAAAUGGGGAGUCAUGAAAUCCAUUUGUUCUAUUCAUUGCUAAGAUGCUUUUCUCUAUAAAGAGACUUCCUAACGAAAAUACUUUGUAGAUUUCUUUACUCCAAGUGGUGCAUGGAAAAUUAAUAUUUUCAAUUAUCAAAUAAAAUUCCCUUUUUUCGGCGUAGAUUUCAUCCAUCCAGCUGUUAACACAUUCUAUAAAUCCGAAUUGACUAAUCUUUUCGUUUCCAUUUUCCAACUUGCGAAUACGGCAUAUAGUGUCUGCUAAACACUAUAUAUUCUCUGCCAAAUAUGAAUACAUAUCACUUUUCUGAGCAAGUGCAGAGUCAUUAUCAUUUUUAUUCCCACCUAACAAAUUAGGGAUAAAAAAGUUAAUAAUCUUUACAUGCUAUCAGGUCACAAGUUAAUAAUCUUUUAAAGAACAUGUUAAAUUAAUUUAUUGGUAUGAAUAGUAGUCAAAGAAGUAUGUUAAAGUUAGUAAUCUUUAAAAUAAUAUGUUAAAAUCAUUCGUACAAAUUAGUCAGAGAAGUAGCAUAAACACCGCGAUGCAAUUAAUACUUUCAAUCUCAAGGUCUCUAUUAUGGAAAUUUGCAUCGGUCAAUAUACACUUGGCAUAAUAUAAUCUCCCAACUCAUUUCUUUACAAAUGCACCUUUAAUCACCACCAAAAGGUGUGGACAUGAUCUUUACCCUAGAAAACUAUUCACCGACAGGCAAAUUGACGUCAGAAAUACUGAGGAAUUCUAGUUUCCUUCGGGUUCAUGCCAUGUUGUAUCCUUCAACUGUAACUCGAUUUCUAAGCUGUAAUUUGUGACAUAAUAGUCCUUAAACUAUGAAACCCUUCUUACUUAAUUACAAUGGUUAAUACAAUGCCCGUGACUAGACAAGUAUGAAGCAACCAUAACAGAAAAAAAAUCCAAAAUUAGAGAAAAGAAAGAAGUUUCGCGACCACCACCAGUUUACAAGUCACCUCCACCACCUCCUCCAGUUUACAAGUCACCUCCACCACCUUACCAUUAUUCCUCACCACCACCUCCAGUGCAUUCACCCCCACCACCACCAGUUUACAAGUCUCCGCCACCACCUUACCAUUAUUCCUCACCACCACCUCCUGUGCAUGCACCUCCACCACCAAUUUACAAGUCACCUCCUCCAGUUUACAAGUCUCCACCACCACCUUACGAUUAUUCCUCACCACCACCUCCAGUGCAUUCACCCCCACCACCACCAAUUUAUAAGUCUCCCCCACCGCCUCCCCCAGUAUAUAAGUCACCACCACCACCUCCUCCAGUAUACAAAUCACCUCCACCACCUCCUCCAGUUGACAAAUCUCCACCACCACCAAUUUAUAAAUACAAGUCUCCUCCACUACCUCCUCCAGUGUACAAGUCAUCACCACCACCUGCUUACAAGUCUCCACCUCCUCCAGUUUACAGUUCCCCACCACCACCAAUCUACAAGUCUCCACCUCCACCCUACCAUUACUACUACAAUUCUCCUCCUCCUCCUCGUCACUACUAAGCAAUUGUAUCCAAGUUUUUGAGGUAAUAACGCUUAACCAAUAAAUUAACUUUCGCAUGAUAAACCUUAUCUCUAUCAAGACAAACUGCCAUGUGUAUCAUGCCAAAUACGUACACCUAGAUCCAUGAAAAUGAAUGGUGAGGAGGGCCAUUUAGGCUCGGAGCGCCCUAGGCCUAGUUCCCCACCAUUUCCUGAAGUGCCGCCUCGGGUAUUAUCCUGGAAGGCGAUCGCGGCCCAUUUACCACCUCGGCUACAAUGUCAGGUCGUAACACCGAGGUGGACAUUGAAUGACAACUACGAAAAGGGGAGAUGUGAUCUCUGACACCUGAGCAAAGGCUGCUCUGACCCGCCGCCUGAAUCUGACAGAAUGUCCCAUCACGUCUCUUCAUGGAGACCGGUCAAGUCCACCUGAUCCACUGACUAUCUCAGAUCUUUUGGGACCCGUGCAAACAUCUCCUCUCUCCUAUCAGUCCCCUAUAAAUACACGAUACUUCUACUGAAAAAGGAGAUGACCAAUUUCUGGUAAAACACACUCCACUCAUUAUUUACUUCUCUAUAUCCGAACUGACUUAAGCUUCGGAGUUAUACCGGGGGAUCCAGCCCCUUUCUUAUCCAAGCAGGUGACUUCGUCCAAGAGAGUUGCCCAAGGUAAAGAUAUUCUUCCAAUUGAGGUGACUCACUCCUGCGGGUCGAAAAUCACCUCUUCAAUUGGCGCCGUCUGUGGGAACCGCAAAGAUAUUAGAAGAUGAAGCCUGCGCGUUCUAGAAGCAGAAAAGCUCUCACUAUCGAGGCUGGGCAAAGCAAUGCAGCUCAACAAGAAAAUAUUUCUGAAGGGCAGGAGUCCCCAAGGACUCAGCCCGCAAACGAAAAAGCCAUAACCCGUAUGGCCGAGUUUGUGACCGAGAACCCCAACAUCUUUGAAGAGUUGGGAAGAUACCUGAAGAGGCAAGGCAAACAAAAGGCCGAGUCCUCUAAAAGGAUGUCAGAUGGGUCUCUUGAGGACUCAUCUGAGGAGGAGUCGGAUGGAAGGCACUUAAGCCGAAGUGCCUCAAAGCGAGCAUUUUCUAAGGCCACUUCUAAGGUAGCCUCCCUGACCAAGGCGUUUUCCCGAGGGCUCUUGGGCCGACGACCCGAGGAAGAACCUCGGCCCUUGGGAAUACCCGGGGUGGACUGCAUGAGGGCUCCACCGUUCACGGAUGAUAUAAACGAGGAAAGGCUUCCUCCCAAUUUUAAGCUCCCCGCAGUACAAUCUUACGAUGGCCGAGGUGAUCCCGAGAAUCACAUCCAUACCUUCAUCUCGGCCUUCCAAAUAUACUGCAUCCCAGACCCUGUCAUAUGUCGGGCCUUUCCAGUAUUCCUCAGAGGAACUGCUCGAAAAUGGUUCUGAGCUCUAGAACCUAGGAGCAUUUCGACCCUGGGUGAAUUAGUGGAGAAGUUUCUCCACCGAUUUGUCUCCUCCCGACCUACGACUAGGACCUCGGCUUACCUGCUCACCGUGCAGCAGAACCCGGGAGAGUCACUCCGGUCGUACGUCCGGAGGUUCCAUGAGGAAAGCGUUCAGAUACCUGACCCCAAUGAGCAGGUAACCCUCGCUGCCUUUACCCAUGGACUCGUUGCCGGGGAGUUCAAUACGGGGAUCCAUAAAAAAUACCCCCGCACACUGCAUGAAUUGUGGUUGAAGGUUGAAAAGGGCAUACAGGCCGAAGACCUCCAUCGCAUGAAGAAAGAGGUCCAAGCCACCCGUCCAAGGGCUGAGCCCAGAAAGGGAAAAGACGCUGGCCGAACUGAAGUAGGGUCGGGAAGUGGCUUCCGAAGUCCUGGCCGAGACCGCCGCAGCGUGUUCGACAGGAUAUCCAAGGGGAAGUCACCUAUUCCCGAGUCCGAGUUGACUCCUUUAAAUACUACCCGAUCUCACGUGUUGUCCGUGAUGGAACAAAACAACCUCGGCAAGGGCCCGCCGAGGAUGUUUGGAAGCAGAGACAAGAGGAACUCGAACCUCUACUGCUUGUAUCAUCGUGACAUUGGUCACGAAACUGAGGAUUGCAACGAUCUCAAGAAGGAGAUCGAGAACCUCAUUAGACGGGGACACUUGAAACAGUUCAUCCGCAGAGGUGGAGGUCACCAACGUGACGAAAACCGGCAUGACAAAUGAGGUGACCAACGCCGAGAUGAGCGGCGGAGCUCCAGAAGCAGUUGCCGACCUCCUGAGGAUCCCAGGGAGACGAAAAGGCCUCCCCCAGACGGAUCUUCGGGACAUGGGCCAACCAUUGCCCGGGUCAUUAACACCAUUGCCGGAGGUCCGACGGGAGGGGACAGUCAGAACUCCCGGAAGAGAACCUAUAAGCAGGCUAACCCGGAUCAGGCCGAGUCGAGUUCUCGCCUGUCCGAGGUGAUCACCUACGGGCUCAGUGAUCCCAUCCCAGCUGCAUCCAGCAGUCAUGAAACCUUGGUGAUUGAAGUCCUCACCAAUAACUACAUUGUGAAAAGGUCUACAUAGACCCGGGAAGUUCAGUUGACGUCAUGUACCUCCGUACCUUUGAGAGCCUUAAAAUGGCUAAGGGGUGCAUGACCCCGCUGAGAACCCCUCUUGUAGGGUUCGGGGGACACGUGGUGCACCCCGAAGGGAUGGUGACUCUGACAGUGACCAUAGGGCAUCACUCUCGCUGUAGAACCGUCCCUGUCAAUUUUGUGGUGGUUAAGGCUGACUCCCCAUACAACCUACUUUUAGGUCGGCCUACGCUCAAUGCCUUGCGGGCGGUCUACUCCACCUACCACCUGAGCUUCAAGUUUCCUACCCCAGCAGGGGUGGCCGAGGUCAGCAGCGACGUCUGUGCUGUCCGGGAGUGCUACCUCGCCACCCUACAAGCAGCCUCCCCGUCUACCUCCGGUGCGAGGUCCGAGAAGAGGUCAAAUAUCCUCUCAAUAGAUAGCAUCGAUCCUCAGUGAGCUGAGAAGGUCCCGAGGCUGGAGACUGGGGAUGAGGUGGAAGAGAUUCCCCUGGACCCCACGAAACCUGAUCAGACAGUUCGCGUUGGUACCCGAUUGCCCGGUCCUAUCCGAAGAGGUAUGAUGGACCUCCUCAGGGAAUACCGGGACGUCUUUGCUUGGGCCGCCGAAGAGGUCCAAGGAGUCCCGCACCAUCUCAUGAUGCAUGACUGAACGUCGACCCCCAAGUCCGUCCGGUCAAACAGAAGAGAAGGCACAUCGGCCCUGAGCGCAGCCAAGCUGUUGGUGAGGAAGUGGACAAGCUUUUACCCGCUAAAAUAAUCCGAAAAGUCCAAUACCCGAUCUGGUUGUCUAACUCGGUCAUGGUCAAGAAGGAUACGGGGGCUUGGAGAAUGUGCGUCGAUUUUACCGACCUCAACAAAGCCUGCUCCAAGGAUUGCUACCCCUUGCCCAAAGUCGAUACUUUGGUAGACUCAGCAAUGGGCUACGAGAUCCUCUGUUUCUGGGAUGCAUUCAAAGGCUAUCACCAAAUUGGGAUGAGUCAAGAAAACCAGGAGAAAACGGCCUUCUACACCGACCGCGGCACGUACUGUUAUACUACCAUGCCAUUCGGGUUGAAGAAUGCCGGAGCCACUUAUCAACGCUUGGUCAACCAAGCAUUCAAGUCUCAAAUCGGCCGGAAUGUUGAGGCCUAUGUAGAUGACAUCCUCCUCAAAAGCCAGACGAACUCCACCUUCCUGGCCGACUUGAAGGAGGUCCUUGACAUCCUGCGGAAGGUGAAAAUGAUGCUGAACCCCAAGAAAUGUGUUUUUGGGGUCACCUCGGGGAAAUUUCUAGGUUACCUCGUCUCAAGGCGAGGUAUCGAAGCAAAUCCGGAUAAGGUGCGAGCCAUCCAGGAGAUGUCUCCACCCCGGUGCGUCCGCGAUGUCCAAAGGCUGACAGGGCGAUUAGCCGCCCUGAAUCGGUUCUUAUCGCAGUCGGCAGCUAAAGCACUGCCCUUUUUCAAAGUGUUGAAGAAAGCUGACCAUUUCUCCUGGACGGAAGAGUGUCAACAGGCGUUUGAGCAGUUGAAGGAUUACCUUCACUACCUUCCAACGCUCACCUCACCUCGUCCGGGGGACAAAUUAAUCUUAUACCUUUCUGCUGCGGCCGAAGCGGUGAGUGCCGUGCUGAUAAGGAAGGAAGGGGUCCAAAUGCCCGUCUACUACGUUAGCCGAGUCCUCCGAGGUCCAGAGACCAGGUACACACAAGCAGAGAAACUUGUGCUAGCCCUGAUCCACGCCGCCCGCAGACUCAAGCCCUACUUCCUAGCUCACCACGUCUGCUUGAGGACUGAUCAACCACUUCGGCAGAUUUUGACACGACCAGAGGUUUCGGGACGUCUUACCAAAUGGGCCAUUGAGCUGGGGGAGUACGACCUAACUUAUGAGCCUCGCACAGCGAUCAAGGCCCAGGCUCUCGCAGACUUCGUAGCCGAGCUCACCUUUGACGAGGUGCAAGGAUCCGUCCCGGCUGCCACAUCGGCCACAGUUGAUGUGGCCACCACUGGGCUCCAGCGGUGGAUCCUACACGUGGACGGUUCGUCAACAGUGAGGGUAGUGGAGCAGGCUUGCUCCUCGAAGACCCCCAAGGAGAAAUAUGCUAAUAUGCCUUAAGAUUUGACUUCGCUGCUUCAAACAAUGAAGCUGAAUACGAAGCCGUCAUUGCUGGACUGCAGCUAGCUCGCAAGCUCGGGGCCGCACACAUCUUGGUUUAUAGUGAUUCCCAACUCGUCGUGUGCCAGAUAUUAGGUGAGUACGAAGCCAGGGACGAGGUGAUGCAUCGUUACCUCUCCAAGGUCCUCCAGUUGGCGACUCACUUCGAGUCUUUUGAAAUUCAAAGAAUACCGCUAUCGAAAAACAGAAGGGCUGACGCCCUCUCCCGGCUUGCCUCAACCUCUUUCUCUGACCUGAACAAGACGGUUCUCGUUGAAGUUCUAGCCGAACCAGGAUAUGUAGCCGAGGUAGUAUACCCCGUCUACCCUGGGGACACCUGGAUGGGUCCCCUGACUCGAUUUUUCAGCCAGGGUGAGCUCCCCGAAGACCGAGCUGAGUCACGGAAGCUCCAACGAAAAGCAGCACGGUACAUUCUCCGACAAGGCCUUUUAUACAAAAGGUCUUACCUCGGCCCUUAGUUGCGAUGUAUCACGCCCGAGGAAGGCCAGAGAAUCCUCCAAGACAUACAUGAGGGGCUCUGUGGUGCUCACGUCGGCUACAGAAUGCUGGUAAAAAAGGCUUUGUUACUUGGGUAUUUUUGGCCCACUAUGAGGAUAGAUGCCCAGGUCAUGGUCCUUUGCUGCCCCUCCUGCCAGCAUCACGCUCCUGAGCACCACCAGCCGACCAAUUUAAUGAUCCCUAUCACCUCGUCAUGGCCAUUUGAGCAAUGGGGAACGGACAUAAUUGGCCCCUUUCCCAGAGCUCCAGGCAAUUAUACCUACGUGGUGGUAGCAGUGGACUACUUCACCAAAUGGGUCGAAGCUGAACCCCUAAAAAAUAUCACUGGUGCGGCAGUCCAGAAAUUCUUCUGGAAGAAUGUGGUUUGCCGCUUCGGCCUACCCCGGGUGAUCAUCUCGGAUAAUGGCCGACAGUUCGCCGAUAAUCCUUUCAAGGCCUGGUGUGAGAACCUCGGGGUCAAACAGCAUUUCACUUCGGUGGGACACCCCCAAGCCAACGGACAAGCCGAAAACUUCAAUCGCACGCUCCUCCAUGGCCUCAAGACCAGGCUCCACCAGGCUGGAUCGUUUUGGAUGGAAGAGCUCCCCAGUGUGCUGUGGUCCUACCGAACUACGCCGAGAUCAGCAACCCAGGAAACCCCGUUUUCCUUAACCUACGGGUCAGAAGCUGUUGUUCCAGCCGAAUUCAUCACCCCGAGUCCACGAAUGGCCGCAUAUGCUGCCGAAGUCAAUGAAGAAGAACGGCGAGUUGACCUCGACCUCGUCGAAGAGAAGCGUGAUAUGGCCGCGGCCAAAGUUGCUGUUUACAAAAAUAUCGUAGCUGGCUACUACAACGCUCGGGUUAAACAUUUGCGGUUCAGUCCGGGAGACCUGGUGCUCAGGAAGAACUCAGUCAGCCGGGCUGAACCUCAGGGUAAACUAACCCCCAAGUGGGAGGGACCAUACCGUGUUGUUGAGUCCAGCCAAAAUGGAUAUUGUAAAUUGGCAUACCGAGAUGGGUCUCUGAGUGCCCCGAACUUGGCAUGCUGAAAAUCUUAAGUUGUACUACCCUUGAGGGUAUGUGCUUUUAAUCUUGAGUUAUUUCACACUUAUUUUCAUUUCAUUAUAAGUGAAAAAUAAGGGGACAAAGUAGCAGUAAAGAGGAAAACCGAAUUUAAUUAAAAAGAAAGCAAGAAUAUGAACUCAAUUCCAUUGAAUUACAUAAAAGUAGAAAGCCGAGGUCACCUUUAAUUAGGAAGAAAGCAAGAAUAUAAACUCAAUUCCAUUGAAUUACAUAAAAGUAGAAAGCCGAGGUCACCUUUGACCUCGGCCUACAAUGACAAAAAAAAAAACAAGUGCCUCUAGGCACUCCCUACCCUGACAUCCUGGCCCCCCGUGGUCGCGCCACCCGUUUCGGCACCCUGUCCACCCUCAGCUCCUCCACCGGCCUGGUCGUCUUCAGUACCAUCUAGUUCAAACUCCUGGAGCCAUUUGUUGAAUUCGGCUCGGACUUCGGUUAGGUCUUUCUCAGUCCGGAUGCCCUCAGCCAUGCUGUCGCAUAGCUCCUUGGCAUCCUCGUUAUAGUGCGAAGUGCUCUGAAGGGACUCCAGUUGUUCAGAGGGAAGAAAGGAUGCCGCGUCAUUAAUAGCCGACGUGUACCCGAACAUGAAGCUUGGCCGGGUGAGCUCGCCGAGGUCACGGAUGAAGGACUCUGACGUCCGGAAGGCUUCCACAGCAGUGACCCCGGCCUUGUCCAUGGCCUCCCUGUUUGACUGUUCUUCUUGGGCCCUCCUUUUUUUCUCCUCAUCAAGAGCAGUCACCAGGGAAUUGUUCGCGACCUCGGCCCUUUUGUUAGCCGCCUUGGCCUUGUCACGCUCCAACUCGGUUGCCUUCAGUUUUUCUUCCAACUCGGCAAUUCUCUUCUGGAGCUCGGCAGGAGGCUCAUAGUUUUCCAUGAACUUUCCAUACCGUUGAAUCAUCUCGACAAAAAAAGCCGUGGUAGAGGCCCAUGACACCGAGGCGCUCUGCAUCAACUCCCCUGCGGAGAGCUUCCUAGCAUAAGUGCUAUCUCGUGGCAGCACUGAAUGCACCAAGAGCUCCUGAGCGACCAAAGGGUUCUUGCAGCGAUCGUUGAAAUUAAUCUCCCACUCUGGACACCAGUGUGAUCCGGGGUGUCUCUUGUCCUCCUCAGCUGCCUUGAAAGGCACAUGAUGGAGUUUGAACAAAGAUGACCCCGUGACGGGGUUCUCCGGAAAUAUGGUCACACCCUGACCCCGGGGGGGAGUGGCAAUCGUGACCCAGCGAGAAGGGAUUCCCACCGGAAUUGCCGAGGCUCGGGAACCUCCCGGAGUGGCCGAGGUGUGCGAGCCCUCGCCCACGAUCACCACGGCAGGCUCGCGGUCGCCCGACGCCGCGGUGGUUUUCUUAGCCGGCCUGGAAGAGGACCCUGCAGUGUCCUUGCGCUUUUUGGGAGCUCUUUUGACCACCUCGACAUCUCCCGAGGUUAUCAGGUCGAAAAUCUUCGUCACUGCAAAGUAGGAGACGAAGUCAGUUAGAAUUCAAGAGGGAUAAACUAAAAGGGAAGAAAUGGAAAAAUACAAAGUCUGUGAAGCCUAGUCGAGAGUAAGACAGGCUGGUCAGAGCUCGUCAAGGCUCAACUGAUCCCGCCUUCCACGAGCACCACUUCGGGAAAAUCCCAGCAGUUUAUCCUGAGGCCCGACCCCGUUAACUUCUGGAAGUUACGCUCUUCUAACUUCCCUGGAGAUAUCUCCUUGAUCGAGGUGGGAGGCCUCCACCAGAAUCCGCGAGGGAAGUCAUCGGCCGAGACGAAGAAGAAGUUUUGCUUCCACUCCUUUAUUGAGUUCGGAGCAUCAACCACCAACUUCGGAACUUUGUUUCCGAAGUAGAACCAUCCUUUUUCACUUCUGCUGUUCUUGAGUGAGUAACAGCGGCGAAAGAGGUUGACCUAAGGUUGUAUCUCCUGAUGUCGGCAAAGUAGCUGGAAGCCAACGAGAAUGCGAAUAGCGUUAGGGGUGAGUUGAGUGAUUCUCACCCCCCAGUACCUCAGGCAGUCCCGAAGAAACCUCGUCGUGGGCACUCUGAGUCCGGCCUCCAGCUGUUCCUGAUAGAUAGUCACCUUGCCCUUUGGUGGCAGUGCGGCUGACUGAUGCGGUUGGGGUAUGUAAAUACUAUAAUCCCUUCUCCAGGGAUACCUGCGGACCACCUCGGCUAUUGAGGCUUGUCCCAUACCACUACUGAAGAACGGCAUCUGGCCGUAGUCGAGAGUUGCCACGUUUGGAGGAGUGGAAGGUUCUUGUACUCCCUCGUCUCUAGGGAUCUCAAUCCCGAGGUCAUCGUUGUAUAGGACCUCGGGCUGGACCUCGAUCUCCUCGGGCUGCACCUCAACCGCCUCAGCUCGGCGUGAUGCCUCGGCACCUCCACCCUCAGCUUGGUGAGAUGCCUCAGCACCUCCGCCCUCGGACGCGGUCCUUUCCUGGGAGGGGUCAGGCCUCUCUGCCUCAGUGAGGUCAGGUCUCACUGUCUCUUUGUGCGUACGAGCUGUUCUAGCCAUUGUAUCAGAAGGGGAAGAAGUGAACUUACUUAGAAUCUGCGACUGGAAGAAGAUGCCGAAGUAGACGUGGUUUAGAAAGGUUGCCGAAGUGAAAAGAGAAAGAAACAGAGUUCUGGGGUGAUUCUUGAUUUUUGGUGAAGAGUAAAACGGUGAAAAAAGACCACUAUUUAUAGGCCACCAGGGUGAAACCCAAGAGACGGCACCCUCUCUCUUCAUUAAUGGGAGGACUGUUCGUCUGCCAACACAGCUGACAGCCGUCCCUUCAGUUAUCACUCAGUCCCAUCUAUGCGGUCAUGACGUGUCCGUGUUCCGUGUUUUAUACGCUUCUCAGCUUCGGGAAGUAACGACCACGGCGGAUGCCCAUCUCGCCCUUCUCAAAGCUUGGGGGGCUUAGUGAGGAGGGCCAUUUAGGCUCGGAGCGCCCGAGGCCUAGUUCCCCAUCAUUUCCUGAAGUGCCGCCUCGGGUAUUAUCCUGGAAGGCGAUCGCGGCCCAUUUACCACCUCGGCUACAAUGUCAAGUCGUAACACCGAGGUGGACAUUGAAUGACAACUACGAAAAGGGGAGAUGUGAUCUCUGACACCUGAGCAAAGGCUGCUCUGACCCGCCGCCUGAAUCUGACAGAAUGUCCCAUCACGUCUCUUCAUGGAGACCGGUCAAGUCCACCUGAUCCACUGACUAUCUCAGAUCUUUUGGGACCCGUGCAAACAUCUCCUCUCUCCUAUCGGUCCCCUAUAAAUACACAAUAUUUCUACUGAAAAAGGGGAUGACCAAUUUCUGGUAAAACACACUCCACUCAUUACUUACUUCUCUAUAUCCGAACUGACUUAAGUUUCGGAGUUAUACCGGGGGAUCCAGCCCCUUUUCUUAUUCAAGCAGGUGACUUCGUCCAAGAGAGUUGCCCAAGGUAAAGAUAUUCUUCGAAUUGAGGUGACUCACUCCUGCGGGUCGAAAAUCACCUCUUCAAAUGGUAGAAAGUUUUCUUAAGAACCAAGAACAGCAUUAGUAUUCCCUCUGCUUCCAAAAACUUGUGUAUUAAAUAGAUUAAUGAAUUGUUUAACAUGCUCAUCUACUUGAAAAUGCACAAUACCCAUAACCCACUGAAAUUUUUGCAGGAAAAGGGAAAGAGAAUCUGUGUUUGAGAGCUUCAUGAAGAUGUUGAAGAAUAAGAAUAAAAGCCCAAUGCGAGGAUGUUUUCAAGUUUUUCUAUGUCCACUUUAAUUUGUAAAUUGAAUUUUACAACUCAAUUAAUUCCUUGUUUGUGAGGUACGUAUUGUUUUACGUACCAUGCCGUACAUGUUUGUAAGGAUUUCUAUCCUAUUGGCAAAAGUCGGUUCCAUACAAUUAAUCAAUUCAUUUCACUUCUAUUGGCUCUACUAUUUAUGCAUGUUACGACACUCUUUCCCUUAUAUUUUGCCUUUAAUAUUAUGAGUCAAUAGUAAUAAUGGGCCUUUUUCUUAAAAUUAUACUAUUAUACAUAGGUAGUUUGGUCUAACGCUAAAUUCAUGUUUGUCUUUCUUUUAUUCCCUUUACAUCUCAAAGUAUACUAUAGUUUGUAAUCAUUGUGGUGAUGAUAUUACCAGCUGGUACUUAUAGUUUAAGGCAGAGACAUGAUAUUAACAACUAUCUCAUUGAAACAUAAGUCAAAAUCAUGACAAGUGUGAGUCUUGGUUAAUGCACAAUUUGUUAGUGGAAUUUAUAUUUAUAAAACUCAAAAAAAAUUUUUGACAAUGCUAUUACUAAUUAAUUAAGGACUUCAUUGCUAUAAUUUAUCGCUUACUAGUUUAAACUAUAAAUGAUCUCAAUACUUUUCUCCAUGAUGUCGAUUUCUUUAGACUACGAAAGGGAAAAAUUAGUGACAUAUCCCUUACUGAUUACAACAUCAGCAAAAAUUAGUUAUAAACUUUUCCGGUGGUUUUAAAUCCCUCGGGCACUAAGGUUUUUUGCACAUCGAGUGAAUUAAGGAACAUAGGCAAUUCGUUCUGCAUACCAAGUCCUUGUUUAAGAUGCACGUACUAAAAUGCAUCCACUUCAUUAAUUUGGAAAAUUGCCAUAGUUUUUUUUAAGCAUUUUGAUUUUUUACAUGAUUCAAAAUUUUCUUAUUGGAUACAAUCACUUUGUGUCAAGAACACAUUUUCAAUCAUCUUUUUUAUCUUCUCAAUAAGAAAAUAAAAAUUUAUUCAUGCUUUUCUAACAUAUCCAAUCAUUGAUCUGAAAAAUAAAGAAUUAAAAAAAAAAGACAUUUUCAAUCAUUGCUUACAGGGCAACUUCCCCAUGUGAACCUCUUCAAACAAAGCCAAUAAUAUGAAGGAACAUCUAAAUACACUUUUGCCCUAAAGGCUGGUUGCCUUGGGGUCAAAAUUUAACCUUCGGGAGUAUAAUUACCCGCCAAAUUUAUUAUUUUUUAUGGGUAUAUAGUUCCAAUUUUGCCUCCUGUUAAGCUUAUAAAUAUAUUACGACCCAGAAAAUAAAGGAAUCUUGAAUAGUAACAUGUCCAUUGACUUGAGUUGUCAUCAAUUUGGCUACUUCGAUUCCAUGAGGCCAAUCCAAUUCACACUAGCUAGAGAAAAUGGUGAUAAAGGCACUUAGAAAUUUAUAUGUAAUAUUGAUUGGUAGUAACUGAUAAGUAUAUAUUUUACGUGUUUUAAAUAUGUUUUAUUAGUUAGUUUUGGUGUGUUUUAACUACUUUUAUAACUAAUUAACUAGGAAUCUAGUGAAAAUAUGCAUUUUGUGGUUUGAAGUGUGAAAAUUGUAUUUCUAUGGAUUUUAAUGGUGAAAACUUCAUGUUUUUGUAGGUUUAAUGAUUCAAUCAUCAAAUGACAUGAUUUGAGAAGAUAAUUAGAUGAUUGAUGAUGUUUUGAAGUGAUAAAAAGAGAAUACAAAGUGCAAGAGAGGAAAUGCAAUCAAGAAUAAAAGAAGAAAAUUUUUGUAGCUUUGACAUAUUGUGGUAUUUUGGCAAUAUAUUGAGCUACAAUGAUUGGAUUAAGGUGAUUCUUAAACCAUUUGAAGCUAAGAUAUAGAUCUACAUUUGGUAUGAAGGCAUCGAAACCCAUGUCAGUCAUUUUCCUUGUCAAAAUGUUGAAAUACAGAAGUGCAACUCUGUUCUCGAAAGCUAAAACAGAGCUCUGGCUAGUCGAGGGUAUUUUCAUCAUUUCUUAGUCCACAGAGCUCCAAAUGAGAUGAUUCUUAAGGCAUUAGAACCCUAACUCAAAGAGCUACAACUUUCAUAUUUUGUACAAGAGUUAGUUCGGCCUCCAUCAUUCAGAAAAUAGUAGUUGAAGUGGUGCCAAAUGCAUAGAAGUGAAAACGCGAGCUAUCAAUACUCGACCUGAAGUCGCGUAUUCCUGAGGUCAUGCAUUCUCUUCUAUUUUCUGCAACUUGCCCUGCUUUCACAUAAUUUUUUCAUCUCAAUUCCAACUAUCAAUUUCGGCUAUAUCUGAUCAAGAAAAGUGUGGAAAGUUUGAAAGACAACUCAUAGGAGUUUCAAGAGUCAAAAAUUACAAUUAGAAACAACUCAUUUGGCUCUUGAAUCCUCUAUAAAUAGAGGCCUUUGAAGAACAUUUUCACAACUUUGGAAGGUUAGAGAAACUCCACAAAAACAUAGUCUUCACUAGAAUUUCCUUAGUUCAUUAGUUAGGGUAGUAUAGUAUAGUUAGUGUAGCUUUUCCUUCUUGUAUUUAUAGUUAGGUUUGAAUGAAGAUUCAGGAGCAAAGAUAGAGAGGUUGAUCUCAUGUGACAAGGGUGAUAUCUCUUCUACUACUUUCUCUUUUGUAUUUGAUUUCAUAUUUAACUAUACUACAAAUUUGGCUUUGUUUUUUUUUUUUAUCAUGUUUAGUUAAAGUUUAUGCCUAGAGUAUGGAUGACCUUUCUAUAUCUUGUUUGUGAUAUUUAACUGGUUAUUUGAUGAUGUUAUUUUUGAGCAAGUUAUUUAUCACUUUUGCUUUUCUAAUCGUGAUUAACUGGCCAUUAGUUGUGAUUAUCUAAAAGUGUUAAGUUUGUAAUGAGAAUUGGAGUUUAACACUAGUUCAAGGAAGUGAUAAAUUUAGGGAGUUCACUCAUGAGAGUAGAGGAACACCUUUGUGACCUAAGUGACUUGUUUCAUAUAAUUUCAUAGAAAAAAUGAACUUGUAAUUAAUUUCAUAACCACGAGAGUAAGUAUGGUUUAGCUAUAUGUAUAGUUGAUUCACUACGAGAGUAGGUUUCACAUACAUUAGAAAAUUACAUCAUAACUAGUCAAGAUAAUAUCAUUCAUUUAAUCAGUAAUCUCAUUUGCAUGAGUAGUAAGGCAUUCCAUAUCUCUAGGAGGUUUUUAGUAUUAUUUUCAUUACUUUUAUGUUUAUGGUAGUCUAGAUAAUAAUGGAGUUCAAAAACUACUAGUAAUUGAAAAUUUUCCCUGUGGGAUCGACCUUUAAUACCCUAUACUCGCUCUCGACUCGUAUACUUGCGAAAAAUCACGUGUGCGGUAUUUAGAAUUUAUAAAUGUAAAACUUGACUGUAGAUGAACUAAUUGAUAUAUGUAUACCCCGCACUCGUCAGUAACCAGCUUGUAUUGAUCCCAUUAUUGUGGAUAAUUGUGCUCUUAUGAAAAAAAAUUAUAAAAAAAUUAGCAAAAUUUAUGAUAACAAAUUAAAUUUAUUCAUACAAAUCAGUGAAAGAAGUAGAAUUUUAAAGACCAUGAUGAAAUUAAUACUUUCAAGGGCUCUAUUAGGAAGACUUCACUUGUUGGUGAAACUACACUAGCACAGUUAUAUGCACAUUUACUGUUUUGGUAUCUAAUUUCCUUGCCUUAAGUUGGGUGCAGAUGUUUAUAUUACAAAUAGAUGGUAUCAUAAAAUUGUUGUAUUCACGUUUGUUCUUUUUUUUUCUUCCUUAAGUUUUUUUCUUUAUUCUCGUGACUUCAAAAAUACGAACUCAAGAAAUUGGCUGCUUAAUCAAUAUGUCAUACAGGCUUCGCUAGUGAGGUAUAACUUCACAACUAGAGUCAAUAGAAAUUAUCAAAUGAUUUUUUAACAUCCAAAUUAAGCAAUAAAUUUUGUUUUCAUUUUAUGACAUAUAAUAGUACUACUUCAUGAGAGAUUUUAUAGUUUCUUUUAGGUAUCAUACCUACAAGUGAUAUUUGUCAUUGGAUAGUGACAGAAGUGUUAAUGAUUGUAAGAUUAAAUAUUGUUAAAUAUUGAAAUUUAAACUAUUUAUCUUUAUUGAAAGAUACAAGUUAAAGAAUCGUUCAAGGGGGCAAUUUUCCAUCUUGUCUUUUUGAAAAAACGCUAUCACAUUGUAUAGGCAUGAUAGGUUCAAAUUUGUCAUUAAAUUUAUGAUUGAUUUCCCUUUUAUUCAAGCCAAAUAUUGUUUUAAUUAUCAAAUUCUACUUAUAUUUGGUUAAUUGUACUAAUUGUAGGGCGGUAGAGCAAAAGUUGCUAAAAAUAGGUGAUUUUCUGCAAAUUGGUUGUCAAGGCUGAAGGAUUUGGGAUUCGCAUGUUCAAGGCCUGUUUCCAAGUUUGAUUCAAACUCUGGACAGUUUUAGAGGAAGAUUUGGAAGAUUUGAAAUUUCAUUAUUAGUUUUAUGGUUGAAUUAGGAAUCUUGGAAUAAUUUCUUUUGUGAUUUAUUUUUCUAUUUAGGAGACUAGUUGUUAUUUAGUAGUAGACUUCAAUUAGAAAACAAAGAGAAAAAGAAGGCCGGAAUCCCGCUUGAUUAAUACCUUGGCCAGGGAACAAUCUCGGUGGGGAGGACGGCCACUUAGCCUCUCAAUUCAUCUUGCUUUUCGUUAGUUUGAGAGGAAAACCAAUUGCAACUAGAUUCAAUGGAGUCUGGCAGAAUUUCUUCUAGGAUGCGUAGCUAAAUCCUCAAUUUUUAGUCGAAGGUCAAUUUGAAAAUUCGGUUCCAAAUAUCUGUGAAAUCGAAUUAUUUUACUUAUUUCUUUUAUUUAUUGGUAUUCGCACGUUUUCUGAUUUAACUUUUUAUGAUUGUUUUGUUAUUUGAAUGUCAAGGGUCCGAUAUUCGAAUUAACUUAAUAAUCUACUGCCAAAUUAACCGGUUAAAUCCGUAAUUGUUUGAUUGAUUAAUAUCAGUGGCGACUAGCGUGAUUGGUCCCAUGUUAGGAAAACGUCUGAUCUAAUUUAAACAAACCGUCGUAGCGUGUUUGUUGAUUAGGGUUGGACUUUUCUAAUUCUUAAUUCAAUUGAGAAAUUAAAUCUCCCGGUCGUACCUAAGAUUAUUUUUUUGUUAGCGAAAUAGUUAAUGGUCGUACCUUGACUAUCGAAAAAGUAAGGAAGAGUUGAUUGUUUAUCGCGUGUACGACAACUAUAAUCAAUCUAUUAAUGAGUAAUUGAAUUAUCUUUGCAUCAGUAAUCAGUUGAAUGGACCGUGUCUGAAAAGUUGUACCUUUGGCUAGAGUCUUAUCUGUUGUUGAUUCAUUCAUAUCUAUCUUCAUGCGUUGUUUUAAUUUAGUUAAUUAGUUAUUUUUAUAAAAACCCCUCAUCUCUGGACUCUAAAAGAAAUAAAUUAUUUCUAGUUCCUGUGGAUUCGAUCCUACUCACCGCUAUAUACAAAAUUUGUAUUUUUUUGAAUAAAUAAUUAUUAUUACACAGGCUUGACACCUGUCAAGGCAAAAUUUCCUUAACUUCAUCAUCUGUAGACGUAAACUUUCUACGGGUGAUAUAAUAUAAGGAAAUUUUGCCUAUACGAUGUGAUAGCAUUUUUUCAAAAAAGACAAGAUGGAAAAUUGCUCCCUUGAACGGAAAAAAUCAUGAUCUUUCCUCAAACUAGUCUACUAGUCAAUUCUUUACAAAAGAAUACUCGCUCCUAAACAUAGCCUGUUCAUCUACACUGUCCCGCAGAAUUCUAGAAAGUUAGGCAAAACUAGACAAGUUGACAGGUAUAAUCAUACCCAAGAUCAGGAACAAGCAGUUGCACAUUUCAAAAUUCGCUGCUGCAACAGCUAAUUUGAUGACUUACAACACUACACGGUCAAACUUUGAAUGGCAAUGGAUCUUUUGUUGUACGUCAUGAUGUAAUUUUCAUGUUACAUACAUUAAUAGGUUGAUAUCUAUAUUCUUUAAAUUAUCAUGAUAAUACCCUUAAUUAGAUUUAACUGAUAAAAAGAACACGUGUUAAUAUACAAAAGUGUGUAACGUGAAUGUUACAUUACUGUAUUGCAGAAGACCUAUAGUCUCUUCAUAUCUCUUCCUGCACGUAUCAAUUCGUUUCCUCUAGAUAAUAAUCUCCCAACUCGUUUCUUUACAAAUGCACCUUUUAUGUUUUAUUACCUCCAAAAGCCUUUACAGGGUCUUUACCCUAAAAAUCAAUUCACCGACUCGCAUUUGAUGUCAGAAAUUCUUAAGACGAAUUCUACUUUACUCAAAGAUUGACUGUUAAUAAUGAGACAGCGACCAUUUUGUAUUAUUAGACCGUCCUUCUUGAUAGGUAAAAGAAAUAGAGAGGAAAGUGGGUCCGUAUAUGGUCUUUUAUUCAUAGAUAAUACAACAUUACGCCAUCGAGCAUUCACACAAUAUUUCAAAGUCAUAGCAUGCCUAAGGCCCUGUUUGAUAGCUCAAUUUCGUAAUUAAAUUUAAUAGAUUCAAAUUUUAACACAUUUAAAUCAUUUGAUAACAAAAAAUUGAAUAUUUAAAUUAAUUAAGUAACACUGAACUUUCUAAACAAAACUUGCUUUCAAAAUUAAGUGAUAAGUUAUUCACUUAUCUUUGAAUGUGAUAUGCACUCAAAUAUAUUAAAUUUAAUAAUUUAAUGGAUUCAGAUUUCAGAUUUCAGUUUUAUUACACACCCUAAGUUGCAAAAUAAUACCAAAACUUGUUAUUAUAUAGCUUGAGAUUCAAAAAUUUAGAGCAUAAUUCUCAACCUAACACAAUCGAAUAAUGAAUAUUCACGAUUGUUUCAAAGUACAAUUUGAGGACAACCCAUUCCAACGCGUACACGAUUUUUAACUUUUCUAAAGUUGUUGAGAGCUGUUAAAAGAGAUUUACCAUGUUUACAUCUUCCAAGUCUUGGAAGUGAAAAAUGAAGCCACUGAGUGCUAUAAAAAGGGGGCUAGAGGCUGCCUAGAAGCAUAUCAGCCUAAAACAAGAAUUUGUAGUAACAAUGGGGAGCAAAGCAAAAGCAACGGGGUCUAGGCUGACUCCUCUUCUUACCACUGUUUUAGUGGUAUUUGUCGCCCUUGGCUUGCCCUUGGAAACUGCAGCUGAUUAUUACAAGUAUUCAUCUCCUCCUCCUCCUCCUUACCACUAUUCUUCACCACCACCUCCAGUGUAUUCACCUCCACCAACCCCUGCUUAUAAGUUACCCCCACCAUCUCCUCCAGUUUACAAGUCCUCACCACCACCUUACCACUACUCACCACCUCCGGUGUAUUUACCUCCACCAUCUCCAGUUUACAAGUCACCACCACUACCCCCUCCGGUAUACAACUCCCCGCCUCCACCAGUGUACAAAUACAAGUCCCCACCACCACCUCCUCCAGUUUACAAAUCUCCAUCGCCACCAGUUUACAAAUACAAGUCACUCCCACCACCUCCUCCGGUAUACAAGUCUCCUCCGCCACCUGUUUACGAGUACAAGUCUCCUCCACCACCUCCUCCAGUGUACAAGUCCCCACCACCUCCAGUUUACAAGUACAACUCACCUCCACCUCCUCCCCCAGUUUACCUGUCUCCACCUCCACCCUAUCAUCACUACUACGGUUCUCCUUCUCCUCACCACUACUAAGCAAGUGCAUAAGUUUUGAGGUAAUAAUACCUAUCCAAAACUUUAUCAACACAAACUGCCAUGUAUAUUAUCAUGCUAAGGACGUACACUUGAUCCAUGAAAAUGACUAGUAGAAGAUUUUUUUUAAGAACCAAAGAAAUACAUUAUUUUUUCGGUCUGUUUUCAAGAAUUUGAGCAGUAUACAGAUUAAAGAGUGUUUUUUUUUUUGUAAACUUGCUUGUCAACUUAAAAAUGCACAUAGCUGAAAGCCAACUGAAUAUUUGCAGGCAAAGGAGAAGGCAAUCGGUGUUUGAGACCUUCAAGAAGAUGUAGAAGAAUAAGAAUAAAAGCCCAAUGCGAGGAUGAUUCCAAGUUUCUACGUUACCAUUUCUACAUCUAAAUUGACUUUAGCUCCUGAGUUCCAUGUUUAUGGGGUUUGUACCGUUUUACGUACCAUGCAGUACAUGCUUGCAAGGUUUUCUGUCCUGUUGGCAAACUGCAGGUCCAUAUAAUAAAUGAAUACUAUUUACAUUACGACACUUUUCUCUUUUUCUCUUAUAUUUUGUCUUUAAUAUUGUUGAUCAUUUUUUUUUUAUCAAAAGCAUCAAAUGCUUAGGUAAUUUGGUCUAAUGCUAAUUGUUUUACUUUUAUUUUUCACCUACACCCCUUUUCAACUCAAAGGAUGCUAUAGUUUGUGAUAAUUGUUUAAGACCGAAGCAUGAUACUAAUAAAUAUCUCAUUGAAAGUCAAGGAAACUAACAUUAGGAAAAGUUUAAAUCUUGAUUUGAUGAAACUAUUUAUUCGUGGAAUUUAGAGAUACAAAACUCAAAUUGUGACGGUGUUGUUGCUAAAUUAUUAAGGACAUUAUCACCAUUAUUUUUCCCUGAUCACUAGUUUCAACUGCAAUGAUCUCAAUCUUUUUGUGACUAAUUCUUUCCUUAAUAAUUUAUAAAGACAAAACUCACAAAGAAUAUGUGACUAAUUCUUUCCUUUCGUCUUCUAAAGAAAAUGCCAACUGUUAGUUUAUCAAGGGGAAAAAGGAUCGACAUCAGUUAUUAUUGAAACUAGUAAGGAAUAAAUAAUGGUGAUAAUGUCCUUAAUAAUUUAACAACAGCACCAUCAGAAUUUGACUUUGAGCUUCGGUCUUAAACAAUGAUCACAAACUACAGCAUCCUUUGAGUUGAAAAAGGAAGUAGGUGAAAAGAAAAGUAAAAAAUACAAUUAGCAUUCCCUCAAAUUGUAGAAAGUUAGGUAGCAUUAUAGACAAGUUGAUAGCGGCAAUUUUACAUUUCAAACUUCACCUAUUCAAUAACUAAUUCGAUGGCUUGCUACAUGGUCAAUCUUUGGACCCCUUCCUGCCUCCAGAUAUCCCUUUCCUCAAUCAGGGGCUUCUACAAUUACCAGUUUCAAUUGUAUGGUAUAGUGUAAAUAUCAACAAAUUAGAUGUAGAUGCUAACAUAAUAAAUGUGAAUGCUAAGACAGCAACAUACAAUCGAACCUGCAAUUGUAUGAACCCCAAUCUCGCUUCCUAGUCCACCAUCUUUCUCUAGGUAAUAAUCUCCCUUCUAAUUUAUUCACAAAAUGCACCUUUCAUCACCUCCAAUAGCGUCGACAUGAUCUUUACCCUAGAAGACUAUUCACCGACUCUCAAUUGACGUCAGAAAAUCUAAGAGUAAUUCUACUUUACCCUAAGAUUGAUAUCAACAAGACAAGGACAAUUUAGAAUUAUUACACGCCUCUUCUUAAUAGGAAAAAGAAAUAGAGAAGAAAGUCAGGCCAGGUCUAAUUUCUUUUCAAAGGCAAUACAACAUUACGAAAUCAAGCAUUCAUUCAUACAAAUAUUUCAUAGUCACCGGUUUGCUGAGUAGAAAAAUUUAGACAAAAACUUAAUAUUAUAUUGUUUAAGAGUUAACAAUUUAGAGCUUAAUCUCCUUGUACUUUGGAGUUAACAAUUUAGAGCUUAAUCUCCUUGUACUUUGGACUAAACUUGAACGUGAAAGGAAAUCCCAAAACCAUAUUGGGCAUGAAUUCACACUUAAUAUACCCAAUAAAAGAUGGCGACUGGUGAAAGGCAGUGGAGACUGGUGGAGAGAUUUGAGGAAUAGAAGCAGACGGAAAAGCAACAAAUUUUUGCCGAAAAACGGUCACUUUCAUGGUUAAUUUUGCUACUCUCCAAUUGUACUUGACCAAUUACAACAAUUUCAUGGAGUUUGAUACGUGAAAAGAAUUUUUUAUAAAUUUUAUUUUGAUCCAUAAUGUUAUCUUUACAUAUAUAAAACAUUUUACAAUUUUGAUUUUGGCGCAGCUAACUUUUGGUUAACAAAAAUGCUCAUGUUUAAAAAACCAGAAAUAAAACAAAACAAGAAACAAAAGAAAUAAGAGGGUAGCAUAGACAUUUUGGAUUUUUCCGUUAAUUUGGAUGAUUUCCACCCACGUUCUAAUUUAAUCCAAAACACAAAGGAAUUACGUAGAGGUUUUAAAUAAUGAGGGAGCUUCAUGAUCGAACCCCAAACCACAAGGCGAUUUACUAUAUUUUACUCUUAAAUUUUGGUUUCAUCUCAUAGCAUACAAGAGUUCUAUUUCACUAUCUGUAGACAAAGACUUUCUAUGGUUGAUGUACCAUAGGAAAAAAUCUGCCUAUACAACGUGAUAGCAUUUUUUCAAAAACACAAGAUGGAAAAUUGCCCCUUAAACGGGGAAAUUCAUGAUCUUUCGUCGAACAAAGAAUACUCACGCCUAUUCAAGAUGGAAAAUUGCCCCCUUAAACGUCUAUUUGUCAAUUCUUGAAAAAAGAAUACUCACGCCUAAAACACGGCCUCUUCAUCUGCAGAAUUCUAAAAAGUUAGGUAAACUCUAUAAACAAGUUGAUAGGUACAAUCGUACCCAAGAUCAAGUACAGAUAGUUGUACAUUAACUGCUGCAAUAACUAAUCUGAUGACUUAUAAACAUAUCAUGGUCAAUCGUUGAAUGGUAAUGAGUCUUUUGUUAUGCAUUAGUAUUAGUGUGUACACUCUAAUAGAUUGAUACUUAUACUCUUUAAAUUAUCAUAAUAAUACCCUUAAUUAACUUUAACUCUUAAAAAGAAUACAUGUUAAUACACGAGUGUGUGUAACCUGAAUUGUUACUUAUAAAUUAGUGUGUAAUAGAUAGGGAUGGCAAUGGGGGCGGGUGCCCGCGGGGGGCUCUCGGGGCGGGGGUUGGGGCGGGGGGGAAUUUUUUCCCCCCGUUUAGAAAUGGGGCAGGGGACGGGGGAGUAUACCCCCGCCCCAUCCCCCGCAAAAAAAAAAUUAUAUAUAAUAUGUAAUUUAAUUAGUUAUAAACUUAUGAUAAUGAUAUUAUUAGUUAGAUGUAUUAUAUAAUGUAUAUUAGUGUAUGUAAUAUAAUUAAUAUUAUCAAUUAUAUGAAUAAUUAGACAUGUCUACUAAUAGAAUUUAUGAAUUAGUUAUACUAAAUUUACUAAUACAUUUAUACUAAAUUUCUAAUUACACUUAAUAGAAUAACACUUUUUUCUAAAACAAAAAAGCACAAACACAAUAAUGAAUUAGUGAUUGUAUGAUAGGGUGUAAUUUUACUAUUUAUUUUAUUAUUAAUUUCCCCUAUCACCUGACCUGAUGUGGAUUAAUUGCUGGAUUCUGCUCACUUUUAGUACUUUGUAUUUAUUUCAGGGAGUAGAACGGAAAUUUGAUAACAGGUGCUAAUUUGGCAGAAAAAGAGUCCAGAUGAUAGAGCUUGCCCCAAGGGCAUUUUUGGAAAGGAGAACUUGUGCCCAUCUUGGUAAUUUGGGAGAAAAGGGAAACAGACAAAAUGGGUCUAACAUGGAUUGGAAGCGGCCGCACAGUAGCAGGGAAGAGGGCAGACGUAAAAGCAAUUGCAGGGGGGAAAAGGAGUUUUUUUAGUUUUUAGCUUAGCAUCUGAUUUUCCCUGGGAGACUUUUGUUAAAGAUUUCCUUUUGGCUGAUAUUACGCAUGGCAGAUGGCUUUUAACUUAUUCCUCCAUCUUUGACUUUUCUUCUUUAGCUUGUGGCAGUGGAUUGCUACUUACGAAUGUCAGCACUUAGCCAUUCGUGGCUUUUGAUCUUUUCUUCCUUAGAAAUUCUGAGUAACCUCUUUUCCUUUGUGCGCCAGACGAAGUGAAAACUAUAAACUUUUGUAGUUUUUCUAUUCAUUCAAUAUAUUGAGACGAGUUGGAUUCUACCAAAUUUCAACGGACAUGGCCGCUGGUUUCUCUUCAAUUUUAUAUGGGCUUUGUUCAUCCAACAUGAACUAAUUUCACCACUCUAGUCAAGGAGCAACGAAGGCUCUGAUUUGCCUAAAAAUUGUGAGAUCGUUUUAAUUUAAUCUUUUCCUUUUAUUUAUUGGUAUCCGCACAUUUCUUGAUUGCUAUGCUUAUGGUUAUUUAAUUAAUUGAUUGUCUUGGAUCCAGAUAAUUAAUUGAUCUGAUAGCCUAUUGUCAAUUAGGGCAUUUAAAUCCGUAAUUGUUUAAUUGUCCUGAAAUAGUGACAACUGGCACGAUUAGAUUCGUGCCAGGGGGGAUAUGCGGGCUAAUCUAAAAUAACCCUGGUAGUGUGUUAUUUGGUUAGAAUAGGGCUCCUCUAAUACUAAGGCAAUUGGGGAAUUAAAUUCUACGGGCGUACCUAGGAUUAUUUCUUAAUUAGAGCAGUGAUUAACGGGCGUACCUUGAUCACCGACACAGUAAGGAGGGGUUGACCGUCAUCGCUUGUUUGGCAGUUAUAACCUAUUUAUCAGUAAAUAAUUGGGAUUGCCUUGCAUCAAUGAUCAAUUAGGUGAACCAUUGUUGAAGUUACUUCUUGGUUAGAUCUUUAGUUAAUAUUACCUUGAUUUUGGUGAAUUGCCAUUUGAUUUUUAGUUGCCUACUUUAUUUUAUUUUUAAUUGUUUCCUUGCUUUAAUUGAGUUAGGCCUUUAAUUAUUGUUAUUCUAAGUUUAGUGAAUUGUGGUUUAAUUCCUAAUUAGUUAUUUAUUUUUACUUUCUUAUUUGAAUUUAUUUGCUUGUUAUCAUUCCUACGAAAUCACCCCCCUGUGUUACUUUGGAUUUCUUAAGAAACAAAUAUACCCAAUCCCUGUGGAUACGACCCUACUUGCUCUGUUCACGAAUUCAUAAUUAUUUGUGAAAAGAAAUAACCAUUCCACUCGGGUAUAUCGGAUCAAGCAAAUUCUUCGGGAACAGGGUGAAUCAAGUAACCCAAUGCACACCUAGAGUCCCUGCUCCAGUACUUGGAAUUGGGUUUUGGUCAUUUUAACUGGCAAUUAGGUUUAAUUUUAUUAUUGCACAGGCUGACGACCCUGUCAAUUUUUGGCGCCGUUGCCGGGGACUGGCGUUAUUAUUUGUUUCUUUUUAAAUUCAUUCUUUGUCCUAAUUUUCUGGUUUUCUUCUAGUGUAUGCCUCGAUCUUCUCGUACAGGUAAUUUGAUUUUUGACCCUGAGGUAGAGAAGACCGCAUGUAGAACGAGAAAGGAAACCAGACAGCUCAGAGAAGAGCACUCCAGUGCUACAUCUCAGAGACCCGAGUCAGAAGUUGAACUAACAGAUUCGUUUGGUAACACUUCGAGUGACUCUGACCAGGAGGAAGACACCAUGGCUAAUGCACGAACAUUAAGGGAGUUGGCUGCUCCUGAUUUAACUCAGCAGCCUUUAUGCAUUACUUUCCCCACUUUAAAUGAUAACAUUCCAUUUGAACUAAAAUCUGGUCUGAUUCAGCUUUUACCCUCUUUUCAUGGUUUACCAGGUGAAGAGCCGUAUAAGCAUCUGCAGGAGUUUGAUGUCGUGUGUAAUAGUAUGAAACCCUCGGGAAUCACAGAAGAGCAGAUAAAAAUGAGGGCAUUCCUCUUCUCCUUGAAAGAUUCUGCGAAGGACUGGCUGUACUACCUGUCACCAGGUAGCAUCACCACGUGGGACCAAUUGAAGAAAAAAUUUUUGGAUAAAUAUUUUCCUGCGUCCAGGGCUGCAAGUCUAAGGAAAGAAAUUUGUGGGAUCAAGCAGCAUCCAGGGAAGUCACUUUAUGAGUAUUGGGAACGGUAUAAGAACUUGUUGCGCAGGUGCCCCCAACACCAAAUAAGUGAGCAAUUGAUCAUACAGUAUUUUUAUGAGGGGCUCCUUUUUAGAGACAGGAGCAUCAUUGAUGCCAGGGGGGAGGGUUGGGAUGGGUGGUACGGGGGGAGGGAGUGUAAGCAAGAGGUCUCGGGUUCGAGUCCUCCCGCUUACACACAAAAAAAAAGAUGCUGCAAGUGGAGGGGCACUGGUAAACAAAACCCCUCAGGAAGCACGGGAGUUAAUAGAGGGGAUGGCAGAGAAUUCACAACAAUUCAGUACAAGAGAGGAUGUCCCAAUACGUAAGGUGAAUGAGGUAGAGACACCCUCUAUGCAGCAGCAGCUAACUGAGUUGACCGCGUUUGUUAGGCAACUGGCUGUGAGAAAUGCAUCACAAGCCAGGGUGUGCGGGAUUUGCACUGGUAUGGGUCAUUCUGCAGACAUGUGCCCAAUGAUUCAGGAAGAAACUGCAGAACAGGUGAACAUGGCUGACCACGCGCCCGCGCCAAGGAAGCAGUACGACCCUUACUCAAGCACCUACAACCCCGGGUGGAGAGAUCAUCCCAACCUCAGUUAUGGAGAAAAUAGGCAGCCCAACAUUACACCGAACAGGCAGUCUAACUUUGUGCCAAAUAGGCCACCAGGGUACCAGCAGCAAUAUCAACCCCGACCACCUCCGUCCCCAAGCUCUGGCCCAUCUUUGGAGGAGAUGAUGAAACAAAUGAUGACAACUAUGGCUCAAAAUCAGCAAAUGACGGAGGCAACCAUUAUGCAAAAUCAGCAAAGGACGGACUCCGAAAUGAAGGAUAUAAGGAAUCAGAUAAGUCAAAUGGUCACAACAAUCAACCGUUUGGAUUCCCAGAACCAAGGUAAAUUGCCAUUUCAGCCCGAAUUAAAUUCGAAGAACGUGAGCGCAAUGACCCUAAGGAGCGGGAAAGAAAUUCAGGGGUCUGAACCUGUGAUCCCUAAGGAUAAGGAUGAGGAAAAGAUCGAAAAUGAGCUUGAAAGGGAGGACAGCAAUGGUGCAGAUCUAAAGGUACUUCCUGACCCAAUAAUUACAGCUAAAACUAACCCGCCUCCUUUUCCUAGCAGGUUGGAAAAAUCGAAAAAAGAGGAUAAGGAGAAGGAGAUCUUGGAGGUUUUUCGCAAGGUUGAGAUAAAUAUCCCCCUCUUAGACGCAAUCAGACAAGUACCAAAAUAUGCCAAGUUCCUAAGGGACUUGUGUGUCAACCGAAGGCAGUUGAGGGAAGAUGAACGGGUUAUUGUUGGGGAGAAUGUGUCAGCAGUCCUGCAGAGAAAGCUCCCACCAAAGUGCGGGGACCCAGGUAUGUUUACUAUUCCCUGUAGGAUAGGUAAUACUGUGAUAGAAGGGCCAUGUUGGAUCUGGGAGCAUCAAUUAAUCUCAUACCUAAAUCUAUCUAUGCUUCUCUAAAAUUAGGUCCAUUAAAAGAAACUGGAAUAAUCAUUCAAUUAGUUGACCGAACUAAUGCAUAUCCUGAUGGGUUGGUUGAAGAUGUGUUGGUAAAAGUUAAUGAUUUGAUGUUUCCAGCUGAUUUUUAUGUACUUGAUAUGGAUGAUGAUCACUCCCCUGAUCCCUCACCUCUGUUAUUGGGUAGACCCUUUAUGAGCACAGCACAGACGAAAAUUGAUGUUAAUAAGGGUAUCUUGUUCAUGGAGUUUGAUGGGAAAAUUGUGCAUUUCAAUAUCUUUGAUACUAUGAAAUAUCCCUCAAACUCCAACUUUAGCACAGUUUUCUCUGUGAGUGCUAUUGACCCUGUAGUGCAGGAAGUGUUUGAAACUGAUGGCAGGGAUGAGUUGGAGGUGGCUUUGACCAAGCACCUCGAGUUGGAGACAACUCCUGAGGUGGAAUGGAGCGAGGACCUAAAAUGCACAAUAGGUGCAUUACACUCAUUGCAGUCCACCACGAAAAGGUAUGAAGUCUUACCUAUUUUUACUCCCGAACCUCACCAGAGGGUGUUGCCAUCUGUGGUGCAGGCACCUGUACUAGAAUUUAAACCUCUAUCAGAGCACCUGAAAUAUGCAUAUCUGGGUGAUAAUGAGACACUCCCGGUGAUUAUCUCAUCGACACUGUCAAAAAUCCAGGAGGAGAAACUGAUCCGGGUCCUUAGAGAGCAUAAAGAGGCGAUAGGUUGGACAAUCGCAGAUAUUAAGGGGAUCAGCUCGGCCAUCUGUAUGCACCGGAUUAGACUAGAAGAGGAUGCCAAACCUGUUAGGCAGGCUCAAAGGAGGCUCAACCCCCUAAUGAUGGAAGUUGUAAAGAAAGAAAUUUUAAAAUUGCUAGAUGUGGGGAUUAUUUUUGCAAUAUCAGAUAGCCCUUGGGUAAGCCCGAUCCAGGUAGUCCCAAAGAAGGCAGGGGUGACGGUGGAGGCAAACCAAACGGGUGAGCUCGUGCCAGUGCGCAAACCCACUGGAUGGAGGCAGUGUAUAGACUACCGUAGGCUAAACGCCGUCACCAAAAAGGACCAUUUCCCUCUCCCUUUCAUUGACCAAAUGGUUGAACGUUUAGCUUGUAGAGCUUAUUAUUGCUUUUUGGAUGGAUUUUCAGGAUACUUUCAGAUAGCAAUUGCUCCAGAGGAUCAAGAGAAGACAACCUUCACGUGCCCGUUCGGGACCUUUGCUUAUAGACGAAUGCCAUUUGCGUUGUGCAAUGCACCUGCAACAUUCCAGAGGUGUAUGGUAAGUAUUUUUUCUGAAUAUGUGGAGAAAAUUAUUGAAGUUUUCAUGGACGAUUUCAGUGUGUAUGGUGAUAGUUUUGAUACGUGUUUAGAUAAUCUGAAAUUGAUCCUGAUAAGGUGUAUAGAGACUAAUCUUGUGCUUAAUUGGGAAAAAUGUCAUUUUAUGGUUGAGCACGGGAUAGUCCUGGGUCAUAUUGUAUCGUCUAAGGGCAUAGAAGUUGACAAGGCUAAAAUAGAUAUUAUUUUUGCAUUACCUUACCUCGCGAGUGUGCGGAAGGUGCGUUCUUUUCUUGGACAUGCAGGUUUUUAUCGAAUGUUCAUCAAGGAUUUUUCAAAAAUUGGAGCCCCGUUAUUCCAACUCCUACAAAAGGAUGUGACCUUCGAAUUCGAUGAUAAGUGUGAGGAAGCCUUCAACAAGUUGAAAGAAUUGUUGACCUCACCCCCAAUUAUCCAGCCCCCUGAUUGGAGUCUACCAUUUGAGAUCAUGUGCGAUGCCAGUGAUCAUGCCGUAGGGGCUGUAUUGGGGCAAAGAGUAGGGAAGGCAGCUCACGUCAUCUACUAUGCAUCCCGAGCAUUGAAUGGAGCCCAAUUGAAUUACUCCACUACUGAAAAGAAGCUUCUUGCAGUUAUUUUUGCUUUAGAAAAAUUCAGGUCAUAUUUGCUAGGUGCUAAAGUAAUUGUAUUUUCUGACCAUGCAGCAUUAAGGUACCUAAUGACCAAGAAAGAUGCCAAACUGAGGCUCAUUAGGUGGAUAUUGCUACUGCAGGAAUUUGACCUGGAGAUACGGGAUAAAAGGGGCUCAGAGAAUUUAGUAGCUGACCAUCUGAGUCGUAUACCCGUUGGAGAGGAUAAUGAACCAUUGAGGGAUGCGUUCCCUGAAGAGCACUUAUUUUCUUUAAAUUCUCAGUUGCCUUUGUAUGCCGAUCUGGUCAAUUAUUUGGUAACUGGUAAUUUUCCUGCAGGUUGACCAAAAUCGAAGAGGGAUAAAUUGAAGAGCGACGCCAAGUAUUUUAUUUGGGACGACCCGUACCUAUGGAAGAGGUGUGCAGAUCAAGUGAUGCGGAGAUGUGUAAGUGAAAUGGAAUUUCAAUCGAUUUUAGCUUUUUGUCAUACUUUUGCCUGUGGAGGUCAUUUGGACCCAAGAGAACUGCUCAUAAGGUUUUAGAAAGUGGAUUUUAUUGGCCUUCAUUGUUUAAGGAUGCCUAUGUGUUUUGUAAGUCAUGUGAUCGCUGUCAAAGGGUAGGUAAUAUACCCCGUAGAGAUCAAAUGCCCCAAGUCCCGUUGAUUUUUAUUGAAAUUUUUGAUGUCUGGGGUAUAGAUUUCAUGGGGUCUUUUCCUACUUCAUUUGGUUUUUUAUAUAUUUUGCUGGCAGUUGAUUAUGUGUCUAAAUGGGUGGAGGCUAAGGCCACUCGAACUAAUGACUCGAAAGUAGUUGCAAAUUUUGUCAGGUCUAAUAUUUUUGUGCGAUUUGGAAUGCCUAGUGCUAUUGUCAGUGAUAGGGGAACGCACUUUUGCAACAAAAUCAUAGCUGCGUUGUUUCGCAAGUAUGGUGUACUCCAAUGGGUCUCAACGUCGUACCACCCUCAGACCAAUGGUCAAGCGGAGGUGUCGAAUCGAGAGAUCAAGUCUAUCUUGGAGAAAAUGGUGCGCCCCGAUAGGAAAGACUCGAGUCAAAGGCUGGAGGACGCACUUUGGGCCUAUCGGACGGCGUACAAGACUCCUAUAGGGAUGUCACCGUACAGGUUGGUAUUUGGGAAGCCGUGUCACCUUCCAGUGGAGUUUGAGCACAAAGCUUUUUGGGCGAUAAAGUAAUGCAACAUGAAUUUAGAGGAAGCCGGUGCCCAACGAAAGUUGGAUUUGCAAGAAUUAGAAGAGAUCCGGAACGAGGCUUACGAAAAUGCACUAAUUUAUAAGGAGAGAAGCCGGAUAUUUCAUGAUCAACAAAUUUCAAGAAAAUCCUUUGAAGUUGGUCAGAAGGUCCUACUAUACCAAUCCAGGCUCAAGCUAUUCCCAGGUAAACUACGUUCCCGUUGGAUUGGACCUUUUCUUGUUACUCAUGUUUUUCCAUAUGGUGCAGUUGAAAUCCGGAGCGCUAAAACAGACAACAAAUUUGUGGUGAAUGGACACCGUCUCAAGCAUUACUACGAAGGAUUUUCAGGUGAAAAGGUGGAGACAAUAAGUCUAGACGCGCCACCGUGUCCUAAUCAGUGACAUUUUACUAUGUCUAGCCAAAGACAUUAAAGACAGGCGCUCAUUGGGAGGCAACCCAAUUGUCCCUUUUAAUUAUUUGUUUGAUUUCGUGUGAUAGUUUAAAUAUGUUUUCCUUGAAUUCGACUGAUUUUGGGUUUCAGUUUUCGUUUUUGCUGAAUUGUAGGUGACCUUCAGUCUUGACGCGCCCGCGUGAUGACAUGCAGGAAGCUCACGAUCAGAAUCGUCUGAAAGCUCUCUUGCCCUUUUGACGCACCCGCGUGAUGACGUGCAGGAAGCUCACGAUCAGAAUCGUCUGAAAGCUCUCUUGCCCUCUUGACGUGCCCGCGUCACGUUCGCAGGAAAGGUACGGGUUUCAAAAAUUUAAAGAAAAAAUAAUAAUAAUAAUAAUUUAAAAUUUUGAAAUUAACUUCCGUAAAAAAAAAAAAGAAGAAAAAAAAUUUCACCGUGGCUUAAAUAGAGCCUAAAGAAGAGAAAAAAGAAACAAUUUCUUUCUUUUUUUUUUCUUUUUCUUCUUUCUUCCUUCUUUCUUUCUUUCUUCUUUCUCUUUUCCCUCUCUCUUCUCCCCUGUUUCUUCUCCCCUGUCCGUCGCCCGUGCGCCCCAUCGCUGCUCCACCUCCACACGCACGCCGACGCUGCGAGCCACCUGCGACCCCAGCGCCAGAUCUGGACCAUCGCCGAAACCCGCAGCCUCCGCCACCUCCACCUGAGCUCUGCCUCGCGCGCAACCCAGCUGCUCUGCGCCCGAAGCUCCACCGCCGCCACAGCCUCCCCACGCAGCUCCCUGCUCACGCGGCCACAAGCCCAUUGGAAACGGGACAGAGACUGCCGCCGAGCCACUUGCCCGCGUGACCGCCGCUGUUUUCCACCACCUCCCUCACGCGAGCUCUUUCCCUCUCAGCAGCAAUCCACUUCACAGCGCACCCGCUGCGCGCCGUCGCAGCCCUCGCAGCUCCAGCCCGUCUGGUCUAGUCCGCCGCGCGCACCAACCACCCACGGACGCUACCCCCAUCGCUAACCCACGCGGCCUCCACUCCAGUCUGUCCGCCGCCGCUGCUCGUGUCUCCCUUGCGCACCUCACGCCACCCGCUACUGUCCCCUUCCGUUUGGUUAGCAUCCACGGUGGAGGUAAUUGGAGGUUAUUUUCUCAAUUGUGUGACUUCCGCCUGUGAUACUGGUUGCAUUAUUUUUGCUGGGAAUUGCUACUUCUUUUGGGUUGGGUUCAACUGUGCAAUUAAUUGGCCAACUGGAGCCAUUUGUUGGGAUUUUGGGUGAGCUGAAAUACUGCAUUUGUGUGUUACAUUGGGAGGUUUAUUGGGUACAUUCUAACCGCUGUUUUCCAUUGUUACUCUCGCUGGGGUGUCUAUUAAAUUGCGAUUGAAGUAUUUUGGAUAUUGCAUGUUGAGAUUGAGGUUUCAUUGAAUUUGGCCUACGUUCUGCCCCCAGUGGUACUGGUGGGAAUAUUUUCAAUUGAAUUUGUUACCUCUAGUUGGUUGGCUACAUUAUUAUGGUCGAAUUCCUAAGUUGUCGUCAUUGCAUUUGUUGAUCUUGAUUUGGGGCAUUAACCGGCCAACUGGAGCCAUCUGUGCGUUUUUAGGCGCUAUUAUUGGUUUCUUCUCCCUUAACUUUGUCAACUAUAUUUGGUUGGGUAUUUGGUUGACUGCCACGGACUUGUAACUGUGUUUUGCUUCUAAUUGACCAGUUGCACAGCAGUUUUUUUUUAAUUGAUAGGGUGGUUAUACCUCUGGAUAUUUGUAUCCACUGGUUUGAGGACAUGGUGAGACCAAAAUCCUCCUCUAGGUCUAGGACCCCUAGAACCUCGCAAUCCCAACCCCAAGCCUCUACUCUAGUCAAUACCCCUAUAAAUCAACCUACUGCUCCCGGUGUCCGAACCUGGUUAGGUAGGGGUAGAGGUGCCCACGUGGCUUCCGCCACUCACUUGGGAGGGCAUUUGGAAUUCACUAGAGCCGCCGAUCAGCGACGCUAUGCUCAAGCUUGUGAGCGGCGUAUCAUUCCGUGCAAAUGCGCGGACCACAUUACUAUGGUUUUUCUGGGGAUCCAAGGGGAGGUUGAGCGCAUGUACACCGCCAUUGGAUGGCGCCCCUAUCUGGAUAUUUUCCAGCCAGCCUUUGUCGAGUUGACUAGAGAGUUUUACACCACUUUUAAGUUUGAAUUACCGACUAGGUAUACUGUUGCGACUCCCGAUAUCAUUCACUUCCGUCUCAUGGGCCAGGAAUUCAAUUUCUCUAUCACCCAGUUCAAUCUGGCUUUCGGUUUCAUCACUCGGGAGUAUGCAGAGACUAGGGAAUACGGUGAGAGUGCCUGCGAUUUUGUGGAACCUUUCCUUACCGCCUACCGUGAGGUGUGGGAGGACAUGUCUGUGGACAUGCAGCGUUACGAUCCCUCUCGGUCUCGGAGCUCCUUUCUAGAGGACCCGAGUGCUCGGUAUGUUCAGCGGCUUUUAGCAUAUAGCUACUCGGGCAGAAAGAACAGCUUCGGUAUUAUCUCUCGGCCGGAGCUCUUCUUCCUUUGGUGUAUGAAGAAUGGGUUCAAGGUCAAUUUGGGUUGUUGGUUGGCGGCACAGUUCAAGACCGUCAUGGCAAAGAAGAACAAGCCGUUGAUUCUUGGGUCGUAUAUCACGUACUUGGCGGUCCAGCUAGGCGUUCUGAAUCUACAGGAUCACGAUUUGCACUUGGCCUGCGACAUGGAGUAUCUCACUGCUGACCGGCUAGAGAAGAUGGGGGUUCUGGAGCUUGUCGAUGGCCACUACCGAUUUGUGCCCCCGGGACCGCCCCGCGCCCCGCCUCGCUCUUCCUCCACCCAUUCGGCCCCAGUUGGCGGUGAUCCUGGCCCGUCGACAUCCGCUCAGCUCCCUCCACCAGCAGGGGCUGAAGAUUGGCACCAAAUCAGGACGCAGAUUCAGAAUUUGGACGCCCGGAUGAUUAGCAUCGAGAGCAACGUGGCGGCUAUAUCACAGAAUCUGGCGGCAUUCCUGCAGCACUCGGGUUUCCCGCCCCCAAUCCCACCUCACCCUCCACUAUGACCCGGUUUCAGGGAAGUUUGGUUACUUUCUCCCUCACUUUUGUUGUUUUUUGACACAUUGAGGACAAUGUGUCCUAUAGGUGUGGGGGGGUCUAUAGUCUUUCUAGUUUUUAGUAGUUGUUAGUUUUUAGUUUUUUAGUAGUUUUAGUUUUAUUUCUAGUUGCGUAUUUUCUUUCUUUUCUUAGUGCUUAUUCCCCAUGUGAAAAGAAAAAGAAAACAAAAAAAAAGAGAAAAAAAUGUUGGUUUAUUGACUCUAACUCUACUUUUGCCAAGUUUUUUUUAAAUAAAAAUGUAUCGGGUUAAUGUGGUUGGAUCCAGAAUAUCUCCCUGGUGAAUAUCGGAUUGCUUGGCUCUUUUGAUUUCUGUGUUAAUUUCUCUAGGCAUAGGGAAUGACUGUUGGCAUUUUAAUGUGAACUGGUCCAAUAUUGACUCCAGUUCUCUAUGUUUGGCAAUAAUGAGGCGAGCUGUUCCUAUUUUUGGUUCUUAGUGUUGUUAUUAUGUGUUUUUGGCUUUGUUUGGCUGUGAAUAAUCUGGACUGUACUCCGCUAUGAGUUACUACUGAGUAACCGAGGAUCGGCACCUAAAAGUGUCGAUUCUCGCGUCAAAAGGUGGUACUUUAUAUGAGUACGUGGUCGUAUAGCAGUAGGAGCUGAGUAACCGGGCUCCUUCAUCUAAAAAUGUUGGAGUUCGCGUCAAAAGGCCCCGACGGCUAACGACUAAGUCUUUUUGUGUUAAUUAUUAUUGCUUUGAAAAACAAAAAAAAAAAAGAACGAAAAAAGAGAGAAUAAAUAAUAGGAAGGCUUGCCGGUUUAUGGACUUAAUAUGGAGACUUGUGUGAAUAUUUGGACCAUUAGCUAAUAAAUGUUGUGCGCCAUUCCCUUUUCUUAGAGUAGUUAACCUGGAAAUUGAAGGAAUUUGCAGUUUAGGGGCUAACCGGGGGGGAGGCUUCUUGGAUUUUAAUCACCAAUGCUCGAUAUAUGUUUUUCUCUUGAAGAUCUUGGCAAUAUAGGAGAUUGGACAAUGGCCAUCAUCGAAUUUUGGUGUUCGUUUACUAUUCUUAUGCUUGAGGACAAGCAUGGUUUAGGUGUAGGGGGAAUUGAUAGGGUGUAAUUUUACUAUUUAUUUUAUUAUUAAUUUCUCCUAUCACCUGACCUGAUGUGGAUUAAUUGCUGGAUUCUGCUCACUUUUAGUACUUUGUAUUUAUUUCAGGGAGUAGAACGGAAAUUUGAUAACAGGUGCUAAUUUGGCAGAAAAAAGUCCAGAUGAUAGAGCUUGCCCCAAGGGCAUUUUUGGAAAGGAGAACUUGUGCCCAUCUUGGUAAUUUGGGAGAAAAGGGAAACAGACAAAAUGGGUCUAACAUGGAUUGGAAGCGGCCGCACAGUAGCAGGGAAGAGGGCAGACGUAAAAGCAAUUGCAGGGGGGAAAAGGAGUUUUUUUAGUUUUUAGCUUAGCAUCUGAUUUUCCCUGGGAGACUUUUGUUAAAGAUUUCCUUUUGGCUGAUAUUACGCAUGGCAGAUGGCUUUUAACUUAUUCCUCCAUCUUUGACUUUUCUUCUUUAGCUUGUAGUAGUGGAUUGCUACUUACGAAUGUCAGCACUUAGCCAUUCGUGGCUUUUGAUCUUUUCUUCCUUAGAAAUUCUGAGUAGCCUCUUUUCCUUUGUGCGCCAGACGAAGUGAAAACUAUAAACUUUUGUAGUGUUUCUAUUCAUUCAAUAUAUUGAGACGAGUUGGAUUCUACCAAAUUUCAAUGGACAUGGCCGCUGGUUUCUCUUCAAUUUUAUAUGGGCUUUGUUCAUCGAACAUGAACUAAUUUCACCACUCUAGUCAAGGAACAACGAAGACUCUGGUUCGCCUAAAAAUUGUGAGAUCGUUUUAAUUUAAUCUUUUCCUUUUAUUUAUUGGUAUCCGCACAUUUCUUGAUUGCUAUGCUUAUGGUUAUUUAAUUAAUUGAUUGUCUUGGAUCCAGAUAAUUAAUUGAUCUGAUAGCCUAUUGUCAAUUAGGGCAUUUAAAUCCGUAAUUGUUUAAUUGUCCUGAAAUAGUGACAACUGGCACGAUUAGAUUCGUGCCAGGGGGGAUAUGCGGGCUAAUCUAAAAUAACCCUGGUAGUGUGUUAUUUGGUUAGAAUAGGGCUCCUCUAAUAUGUAAGGCAAUUGGGGAAUUAAAUUCUACGGGCGUACCUAGAAUUAUUUCUUAAUUAGAGUAGUGAUUAACGGGCGUACCUUGAUCACCGACACAGUAAGGAGGGGUUGACUGCCAUCGCUUGUUUGGCAGUUAUAACAUAUUUAUCAGUAAAUAAUUGGGAUUGCCUUGCAUCAAUGAUCAAUUAGAUGAACUAUUGCUGAAGUUACUUCUUGGCUAGAUCUUUAGUUAAUAUUACCUUGAUUUUGGUGAAUUGCCAUUUGAUUUUUAGUUGCCUACUUUAUUUUAUUUUUAAUUGUUUCCUUGCUUUAAUUGAGUUAGGCCUUUAAUUAUUGUUAUUCUAAGUUUAGUGAAUUGUGGUUUAAUUCCUAAUUAGUUAUUUAUUUUUACUUUCUUAUUUGAAUUUAUUUGCUUGUUAUCAUUCCUACGAAAUCACCCCCCUGUGUUACUUUGGAUUUCUUAAGAAACAAAUAUACCCAGUCCCUGUGGAUACGACCCUACUUGCCCUGUCCACGAAUUCAUAAUUAUUUGUGAAAAGAAAUAACCAUUCCACUCGGGUAUAUCGGAUCAAGCAAACUCUUCGGGAACAGGGUGAAUCAAGUAACCCAUUGCACACCUAAAAUCCCUGCUCCAGUACUUGGAAUUGGGUUUUGGUCAUUUUAACUGGCAAUUAAGUUUAAUUUUAUUAUUGCACAGGCUGACGACCCUGUCAUUGUAUUUGUACCAAAAGUGAAAACUUAACUAUUUUAGUUGUAUUUAUUUCAUCAUGUUGGAUUGUAUUCAAAUAAUUUUUGUUUGAUUGUUUUUAUAAGUUUCAAUUGUAAAAUUAAAAUGAAUAAUAACUUGAUGAUGUGUUGAUAUUUUAGUACUUGAUUAUUUAUUAAAAUUUAAUUAUAAUAAAAUUUUAUUAACUCAACGAGAAAAAUUUUAUUAAUCCCGUGGGGGCACCCGCGGGGAAAGCGGGGCGGGGCGAGGGGAGUGGGAGGCGGAGGACGGGGCGGGGGCGGGGGAUGGGGGAGGGGUCCCCCGCCCCAACCCCGCCAUCCCCCGUCCCGUUGUCAUCCCUAGUAAUAGACUGGCAAGCAUUGUGGUGGUCAUUGAGCAACUUAUAGGAGAAAUAGUCCUAUAAGCUGUUCAAUGACCAAUCACAACUUGCUAAUUGGAUGACUAAUAUAGCUCUAGCUGUAAUGUUUUAAUUAAAUUACAUCACUAACGUUGGGAUGACUUUUUAACCAAAAAAAAAAAGCCUUAGUUCAAGCUUUUCCCUUUAUUGUGCAUUUUUUAAAGCAUUUGAAAGGCACUGCAAAUCUGUCAUUUUGGACAUUUUAUUAUUGACUAACAAUGAAAGCCGUGGACGUCUACCCAUAACCAACACAAGAUUAAAUUAAUAUUAGAAAAAAUAAUUGAGUAAUUGGAAAAAAAAAAAAAAGAAGAGUCUAAUUUUCAUUGAAACCCACCGACAAACUAUACGUGUCCAUGGCUUUUGAAUAGUGCAUUCAACGUUUAAUUGUAUGGUCCAGUUCAUUGCAGAUUACAUGGAGUAAAGAUUGCGCUCUUUCCUUUUCACCCCUUUUGGAAUCGAUACUGUGGAGAAUUGGGUUUUUCCCUCCUUUUUUUCUUUUCUUUCCUUCUGUGGUUUGCAAAACAUACGUAAAAAUAUGAAAUCCGAAGCAUUCUUUAAUUGGUAUUAAGUAUUGUUGUUGAAAUUAAAAAGAAAAAAGAAAGAACAACAAAAUUCCCAAUCUGGGUUGAUUGUUGAGCUCUAGAUUGGUUGCAUCGUGCUUCCAUAGAAGCAAGAUUUGUAAAAUCGGAAUCCUACAUAGGAUCGAUUUUAGUUUCACAGGAUCGGAUUGUAAAAUCGUAAGAUCCUACCAAAAGCUCUCAAUUGCAAUUAAAGGUUGCAAUUCUUUAAUAAAUUACAAAUAUACCACAAAUAUUUUCAUUUACUUGCAAAAUGGAGCUUCGUAUUUCACAAAUUUACAAAAAAAUUGUAGGAUCGUACGAUCCUACCGAUCCUACGAUCCUACACGAUCCUACCGAUCCUGCUACGAUUCUAUGCGAUCCUACAAAGAUUAAUAUGAUUUGCGACUCUGCAUACGAUCCGGAUCGAUUUUGGUUAUCCGGAUCGUAGGAUCGUAUGAUCCUACGAUCCGGAUCGCGAUUUUGACAACUAUGCAUAGAAGCUCUCUUAGUGUGAUACACUGCUUUCAAUCAGUUUAACACGGGAAAAAAAAAAAGAGAUGAAAAGCAAAUUUGGUGGAGAUAAUUUCAGAAACCUCCCCUGAAGAUUUUGACUAUUCUACUGGUUUCCCUUCAGAUUUUAAAAAUUACACUAAUCUUCCUUGAAGUUAAUUAUCUUGUAACAUUUAAAUUCAAUCAAUAAUUUAAAAAAUGAUAUUAUGAGAGAGAAAAUAAUAUGAUUUUAUCAUUGCCCCCCAUCUUACUACAUUAUUUAAUUAAUUUAAUAGCAACCCACACAUUAAAGAAAAAUAUUAAAAUUUGUUGUUUAUCAUUAAAGAUCAAAUCGCUUAUAACAUCAAAUAAUAGUAUAUUAUUUAUAUUUUUCACUUAAUAUAAUAUCCAAAUUACUCUUUUCAAUUACAUACCCAUUGUUAGAGAAUCAACAACAAAUAACCAAAAAAUUUGCAACCAAAAUAUUACAAAAAAAAUAAACUUUAACAUCAUAAAUAUUCUUAUCAACAUAUUAAAGUUAGUUACUGAAAUUUUUAUGCUGUUAAACUUCACUCUUUUUGAAUACAGAUUUUUUUGAUUAUUUGUUAUUAAUUAUGUUUGAUGAUGGGUUUAUAAUUGAAAAGAACAAUUUGAAACUUACAUUAAGUAAAAUAUAUAGAGUGAUAUACUAUUUUUUAUAACAUAUGUGAUUCAAUCCUUCUUGAUAGGAUUGGUAAUAGAGGUAGAGGGGGGAGUCGGCUGCAUCCGGUCUUCUUUUCAUAGAUAGUACAAUAUUGCGAAAUCAAUCGCAUUCACACAAUAAUAUUUCGAAGUCAAUGCAUGGCUAAGUUGCAUAAAAGUACGAACACUUGUUAUUAUAUAGCUUAAGAUUCAAAACUUUCGAGCAUAACCCUCCACCCAACACAAUUGAAUAAUGAAUAUUCACGAUUGUCAAAUCUGUCAAAGCACAGUUUGAGGACAACCCAUUCCAACCUGCAAAAGAUUUUUUACUUUUCUAAAGUUGUUGAGAGCUGUAAAAAGACUUACCAUGCUUGCAUCCUCCGAGCCUUGGGAGUUAAAAAUGAAGGCACUGAGUGCUAUAAAAAGGGGAAUAGAGGCUGCCUAGAAGCAUAUCAGCCUAAAACAAGAAUUUGUAGUUAAGAUGGGAAGCAAAGCAAAAGCAAUGGGGUCUGGGCUGACUCCUCUUCUUGCCACUGUUUUAGUGGUGUUUGUUGCUCUUGGCUUGCCCUCACAAACUGCAGCUGAUGAUCACUACAAGUAUUCAUCUCCUCCUCCUCCUUACCACUAUCCCUCACCACCACCACCAGUGCAUAUACCUCCACCUCAUCCUGUUUACAAGUACAAAUCUCCACCACCCCCACCACCACACCCAGUUUACAAGUAUAAGUCACCACCACCACCUCCUCAUCCGGUAUACAAGUAUAAGUCUCCUCCGCCACCACCACACCCAGUUUACAAGUACAAGUCACCACCACCACCUCCUCAUCCGGUACCACACCCAGUUUACAAGUAUAAGUCACCUCCACCACCUCCUCAUCCGGUACCCACAGUUUACAAGUAUAAGUCACCACCACCACCUCCUCAUCCGGUAUACAAGUAUAAGUCUCCUCCGCCACCACCACACCCAGUUUACAAGUAUAAGUCACCACCACCACCUCCUCAUCCGGUGCCACACCCAGUUUACCACUACAAGUCACCACCACCACCUCCUCAUCCGGUACCACACCCAGUUUACCACUACAAGUCACCACCACCUCCUCACCCAGUUUACAAAUACGAGUCUCCACCACCACCAGUUUAUAAGUACAAGUCACCACCACCUCCUCCACCAGUUUACAAGUAUAAAUCUCCUCCACCACCACCACCAGUUUACCACUACAAGUCUCCACCACCUCCUCCCCCAGUUUACAAAUACAAGUCUCCACCACCUCCUCACCACUACUAAGCAAUUGCUUCUGAGGUAAUAACACUUGUUCAAUAUACCCACUUCUGCAUGAUAAAGCAUAUCUCUAUCAACACAAACUGUCAUGUCUAUCAUGCUAAGUGCCUUCACUUCAUCCACCAAAAUGACUGCUAGAAAAUUUUUUUUAUGUUACCAAAGAAAGGCAUCAUUUUUUCCCUCUGUUAUCAAGAACUUGUACAGUAUAUAGAUUAAAGAGUAUUUUUUUAACUAGCUUAUCAACUGAGAAAUGCAUAUAGCUGAUAGCCAGCUGAAUAUUUGCAGGCAAAGGAGAAGGAAACCAUGUUUGAGACCUUCUUGAAGAUGUAGAAGCAUAAGAAUAAAAGCCCAAUGUGAAGAUGAUGAUUUCAAGUUUUUCUACGUUACCAUUUCUUUAUCUAAAUUGGUUGUAGCGCCCAAGUUCCUUUGUUUAUGGGAUUUGUAUCGUUUUACGUACCAUGCAGUACAUGUCAUGUUUGUAAGGUUUUCUAUCCUGCCGGCAAACCGCAGGUUCCAUGUGAUAAAUGAAUACUAUUUAUGUUACGACACUUUUCUCUGUUUCUCUUAUAUUUUGUCUUUAAUAUUCUUAAUCAUAUUUUUAACAAAAAUAUUCAAACACUUAGGCAAUCUGGUCUAAUGCUAAUUGUAUGUUUUACUUUUCUUUUUCACCUGCUCCCCUUUUCAACUCAAAAGGAUGCAAUAGUUUGUGAUCACUGUUUAAGACGGAAGCAUGAUACUAAUGAAUAUCUCAUUGAAACUCAAGGAAACUAACAUUGCGAAAAGUGUAAAUCUUGAUUUGAUGCAACUAUUUAUUCGUGGAAUCUAUAGUUACAAAACUCAAAUUCUGACUGCGCCAUUGAUAAAUUAUUAAUGACGCUAUCAUCAUUAUUUAUCCCUAACUAGUUUCGACUACAACUGAACCCAAUAUUUUCCCCAUGAUAAAAGUUUUUGACUAUUUUACUGGCCUCUCUUCAAAUUUUAAAAAUUACACUAAUCUUCAUUGAGAUUAAUUAUCUUGUAACAUUUAAGUCCAAUUAAUAAUUAAAAAAUGAUAUUAUGAGAGAGAAAAUAAUAUAAUUUUAUCAUUGCCCCCCAUCUUGCUAUAUUAUUUAAUUAAUUUAAUAGCAACCCACACAUUAAAGAAAAAUACUAAAAUUUGCUGCUUUUCAUUAAAGAUCAAAUUGCAUAUGCCAUAAAACAUAGUAUAUCAUUCUAUAUGUUUCACUUAAUGUAAGAUCCCAAUUGUUCUUUUCAAUUACAAACCCAUUGUCAAACAUGAUCAAUAACAAAUAAUCAAAAAAUUUGCAACCAAAAUAUUACAAAAAAAAACUUUAACAUCAUAAAUAUUCUUACCACCUCUAGUGCAUUCACCCUCAUAAAAUAAUUCAAGACCCUACUGUCAUAAAAUGACUGAUCAACUCCUGUAAACCUAAUUUGACAACAUUUAAAUGGAGAACUUUAGCUAAAAGAAUUAUGGUCAAGCUAAAGAAAAAACCAGUUAUUUUCCAACAUAUGCAACCAUUGAUCAGGGGAAAAAAAAAAGCAAAAAGACAUCUUCAAUCAUUUAAUAGCUUACAGGGCAAAUUAACCCUUGAGUGAAAACUGGUUGCUCUAGAAUUAAAAUUUUACCUUAGUUACCCAGGCAACUUUUUUGUUGCCUUUUCUUUUUCUUUUUUGGGUAUAUAGCUCCAGUUUUGCCCCCUCUGUCAAGCUUAUAUAAUUAUUAAGAUAAUAAAAGUGCCUUUAAUAGUAUUAAUAUAUCCAUUGACUUGAGCUGUCAUCGAUCGGUUUGGGCUACUUCGAUUCCAUGAGAACAAAUGGUAAUAAAAGUACUCAGAAAAUGGGGAGUCAUGAAACCCUUUUGUUCUAUUCAUUGCUAAGAUGCUUUUCUCUAUAAAGAGACUUCCUAACGAAAAUACUUUGUAGAUUUCUUUACUCCAAGUGGUGCAUGGAAAAUUAAUAUUUUCAAUUAUCAAAUAAAAUUCCCUUUUUUCGGCGUAGAUUUCAUCCAUCCAGCUGUUAACACAUUCUAUAAAUCCGAAUUGACUAAUCUUUUCGUUUCCAUUUUCCAACUUGCGAAUACGGCAUAUAGUGUCUGCUAAACACUAUAUAUUCUCUGCCAAAUAUGAAUACAUAUCACUUUUCUGAGCAAGUGCAGAGUCAUUAUCAUUUUUAUUCCCACCUAACAAAUUAGGGAUAAAAAAGUUAAUAAUCUUUACAUGCUAUCAGGUCACAAGUUAAUAAUCUUUUAAAGAACAUGUUAAAUUAAUUUAUUGGUAUGAAUAGUAGUCAAAGAAGUAUGUUAAAGUUAGUAAUCUUUAAAAUAAUAUGUUAAAAUCAUUCGUACAAAUUAGUCAGAGAAGUAGCAUAAACACCGCGAUGCAAUUAAUACUUUCAAUCUCAAGGUCUCUAUUAUGGAAAUUUGCAUCGGUCAAUAUACACUUGGCAUAAUAUAAUCUCCCAACUCAUUUCUUUACAAAUGCACCUUUAAUCACCACCAAAAGGUGUGGACAUGAUCUUUACCCUAGAAAACUAUUCACCGACAGGCAAAUUGACGUCAGAAAUACUGAGGAAUUCUAGUUUCCUUCGGGUUCAUGCCAUGUUGUAUCCUUCAACUGUAACUCGAUUUCUAAGCUGUAAUUUGUGACAUAAUAGUCCUUAAACUAUGAAACCCUUCUUACUUAAUUACAAUGGUUAAUACAAUGCCCGUGACUAGACAAGUAUGAAGCAACCAUAACAGAAAAAAAAUCCAAAAUUAGAGAAAAGAAAGAAGUUUCGCGACCACCACCAGUUUACAAGUCACCUCCACCACCUCCUCCAGUUUACAAGUCACCUCCACCACCUUACCAUUAUUCCUCACCACCACCUCCAGUGCAUUCACCCCCACCACCACCAGUUUACAAGUCUCCGCCACCACCUUACCAUUAUUCCUCACCACCACCUCCUGUGCAUGCACCUCCACCACCAAUUUACAAGUCACCUCCUCCAGUUUACAAGUCUCCACCACCACCUUACGAUUAUUCCUCACCACCACCUCCAGUGCAUUCACCCCCACCACCACCAAUUUAUAAGUCUCCCCCACCGCCUCCCCCAGUAUAUAAGUCACCACCACCACCUCCUCCAGUAUACAAAUCACCUCCACCACCUCCUCCAGUUGACAAAUCUCCACCACCACCAAUUUAUAAAUACAAGUCUCCUCCACUACCUCCUCCAGUGUACAAGUCAUCACCACCACCUGCUUACAAGUCUCCACCUCCUCCAGUUUACAGUUCCCCACCACCACCAAUCUACAAGUCUCCACCUCCACCCUACCAUUACUACUACAAUUCUCCUCCUCCUCCUCGUCACUACUAAGCAAUUGUAUCCAAGUUUUUGAGGUAAUAACGCUUAACCAAUAAAUUAACUUUCGCAUGAUAAACCUUAUCUCUAUCAAGACAAACUGCCAUGUGUAUCAUGCCAAAUACGUACACCUAGAUCCAUGAAAAUGAAUGGUAGAAAGUUUUCUUAAGAACCAAGAACAGCAUUAGUAUUCCCUCUGCUUCCAAAAACUUGUGUAUUAAAUAGAUUAAUGAAUUGUUUAACAUGCUCAUCUACUUGAAAAUGCACAAUACCCAUAACCCACUGAAAUUUUUGCAGGAAAAGGGAAAGAGAAUCUGUGUUUGAGAGCUUCAUGAAGAUGUUGAAGAAUAAGAAUAAAAGCCCAAUGCAAGGAUGUUUUCAAGUUUUUCUAUGUUUCCACUUUAAUUUGUAAAUUGAAUUUUGCGACUCAAUUAAUUCCCUGUUUGUGAGGUACGUAUUGUUUUACGUACCAUGCCGUACAUUUUUUUUUUCCAACAAACGGUAUCAUGUUAUAGAUAUUAACACUUGACCUUACAAGGAUUAGUUACAAAAAGGGGAUACUACCCUCAACUCUGUCCUAGCUAAAUCAGUCAGCCAUAUUGGGAAAUUAGUUUCCCAUUCAAUAUCAUGUACAAGCUUCACAGCAUAUUGUGCUAAUUGAUGGCUGAUGUGAUUUUCAGUUCUAGGUAUAAACACAAAAGAACAUUUUUCAAAAGCUAGACUAAGUUCCUGCACAUCUUCUAAGAUAGUUGCAGUCGUGUAGUCAUACUCCUUGCGUUUAGUAAUCUGCUCUACCACUGAUUUGCAGUCUGUAUGGACUAUAAUUUGUGUCCAACCUGCUUGGGUAGCCAUCAGCAGAGCAUUUCUCACAGCCCGAGCUUCCACUUCACUUGCCGAUCCCUUUCCCUGUGUGACAAUUCCUUUUGCUUUCAAAAGCUGUCCUUUCCAAUUUCUUGCUAUAAUCCCUUGUCCGGUCCUGACUCGUUUAGCUGAUAUCGCUGCAUCGGUAUACAGCCUUAUCUCUUCCUUCCUUGGCCGCACUCUCCUGGUAGGUAAGGCAUCAUUCAGCUUCCCUGCGAUCUCCUUCUGGUCUGUACUCCCUACCUGUUCAAACUCAAGCCAUUCCUCCUGUGCUUUCCUUACUAUUUUUACUGGAUCCUGGUUGGCUUGUUCAAAAAAUUUUUUGUUCCUGGCUUUCCAAAUUUGCCAAAGGAUAUUGAUAGUAAGACUAACUCUCUCCUGACCUUGGUUCAGUGCCAGCGAUUGUGUGACUUGUUCCCACCAUAACCAAAAGUUAUAUUGCAUACCCAGUAAUCCAUCCCACCUGACCGGUGCUAGCUUCCACGUUUCCACAGCCUUUUCACAGAAGAAAAACAAAUGCUCAAUAGUUUCCAUAUCUUCACCACAGCAACCACAUCUGCCUUCCCCUCUAUGUAGCCUUUUCGACAUCUGUUCAUUGACUGGCAGACAAUUUUGUAAGCACUUCCACAUGAAGUGUUUUAGUUUGGCCUUCACCUUCAAAUGCCAUAGCUGCUUCCACACAUUUCGUUUUCGUAUCUCCCAACUUGUUUCUGCCUCUUGGCCUGUCCUUGUACCUGCUUUUCCUUCCCGUUGCCUUGCUAAAGCAUAACCAGAUUUCACGCUAUAAAUUCCAGCUUUGGAAUGCCCCCAUACCAACCUAUCCUUUCUUCUUCCUAUACUUGUUGGAAUUCCCUUUAUGUGCUCUGCAUCUUUUGCACAAAACCACUUGAGAAGCAAAUCAUUUUUCCAUUUCCCUUCCUCUAUCAGCUCACUUACCCAUUCCAACUUGCAUCCCACAGGUUGUGUGGUUGAUGCAAAGCCGGUAUCUGAACCAACUAUCCAUCUGUCCCGCCACAUGUUGACUGACUUGCCAUCUCCAAUUCUUUUCCAAAGACCAUCAUACAGAAAGGAGGCUGCACUAUGAAUACUCUUCCAACACCAUGAGGCUGAAGAGACUGGCUUCUUGUCCAUCCAUUUUUCAUCACUCAUAUACUUCGCCUUCAUUACCUUACUUACUAACAAAUUUGGAGCCAUUAAGAAUCUCCAAAUUUGUUUUGCCAGUAAUGCUGUGUUGAAGGCCUCCAAAUCUCUAAAGCCUAAACCUCCUCUUCCCUUAACUUCUAAGAGCUUCUUCCAGCUUGCCCAAUGUACACAGGUACCCUUUUCUCCCUUCCCCCACCAGAAACUCGCUAUUUUACCUGUGAUUUGUCUACACAAACCCCUUGGAAGUCUAAAGCAAGCCAUCACAUAUGUUGGCAUAGCCAUAAUCACUGAUUUGACCAGAAUUUCUUUCCCUCCUUGGCUCAACAGUUUUUGUUUCCAACCUUGCAACUUGUUACUAAUUUUGUUCUGGACAAAUGCAAAGACCUGUGUCUUUGAUCUUCCAAUUGCCAUUGGGAGUCCUAGGUAGGUUCCAUUCCUUGCCUCUUUAAUGUUAUCUAAUACCUCCCUCACUCCAUUCUUCCUUUGAUCAGUGGUAUUUUUGCUAUAGAAGAUAGCUGACUUUUCAAAAUUCACCACCUGUCCGGAUGCUUGACCAUAUCUUUCCAAUAUGCUUUUGACCUUCCUCGCCUCCUGCUUGGUUGCUUGGCAGCAUAGUAGAGAAUCAUCUGCAAAAAAUAGGUGAGAAACCAUCGGACUGUCCUUGCAUAUUUUGAUCCCUGUAAUUUCCUUGUUCAUCAUAGCUUUAUGGAUCAAACAUGAAAGACCUUCAGCGCAUAUAAUAAACAAGUACGGGGAUAGGGGGUCUCCUUGUCUAAGCCCUCUACUCGGUUGAACACAGCCUACCUUUUGCCCAUUUAAGUUGAAGGAGUAAGUCACAGUAGAUAGGCAAGACAUGAUCCAUUUAACAAAAAUUGGACAAAACCCCAUUUUCAUCAUAACUCUCCCCACAUAUUUCCAUUCGACUCUAUCGUAAGCUUUGGACAUGUCCAGUUUAAGAGCCAUAAAUCCUACCCUUCCCUUUCUCCUAUUUUUCAAAAAAUGCAGGAUUUCAUGUGCAACUACUACAUUAUCAAGAAUUUGACGGCCUGGGAUAAAAGCGGAUUGAGAGGGACUAAUACAAUGAUGCAAGACACCUUUCAAUCUAUUAGCUAUGAUUUUAGAAAUGAUUUUAUACAGGACAUUGCACAAGCUAAUAGGUCUAAAAUGCACCACAGAUUCAGGAGUAUCAACUUUAGGAAUCAACGAAAUAAUAGUAUCAUUCACAGCUUUGAGCAAAUGCCCAGUAUGAAAGAAACUCUUAAUAGCUGCUACCACAUCAUCCUUGAUAAUAUCCCAAUAGUGUUGAAAAAAUAGAGGAGACAUACCAUCCGUUCCUGGUGCUUUAUUAGGGUGCAUCGAGAACAAAGCUUUCCUGAUCUCACUUUCCUCCACUUGUCGUAUCAGUUGUCCAUUCAUAUGACUCGAAAUAGUGCUUGGAAUUUCAGCUAGAAUGUCCUCAAAGCAGUCCGGGUUAGUAGUGGUAAAAAGGUCUUUAUAGUACUCACAAAGUUCCUCCUCAAUCUCAUGUUCCUCCUUGCACCAUGUCCCAUCUUUUUUCUGCAAUAUAGUGAUCUUAUUUCUCCUCCUCUUUGCCAUGACCGAAGAAUGGAAAAAAGCUGUAUUCUUGUCCCCUUCUUUGAGCCACUUGUUCCUGGAUUUUUGACUCCAAAACAUCUCUUCCUCUGCAUAAGCUUUAUUCAAUUGUGCUUUUAGUUCAGCCACUUGUACUCUUUUCCCUUCAUCCUUUCUUGCUUUCACUUCAGCCAAUUUCUCCUUUAACACUUUAAUUCUAACCUUUGAGUUUCCCUGCACCUUUUUCCUCCAAUCCAGAAUAGCCAUGCGACAUUCCUUUAUUUUUGUAGCCACUCUAAACAUCCUGGACCCUGACUUCACCUUUGUCCAUGCUCCUUGAAUCACCCUUUUUGCUUCUGGAUUUAGCGUCCAUCGUUGAUCAAAGUAAAAUCUCCGUUUUCUCCUUGUGUUUUCCGGGUUUGUAUCCACAAGAAGCAUUAGAUGAUCAGAGGCUUCAGUAUCUAAAUGAGUACACUGUGCCUUUUCAAAUCUUUGCAGCCAUUCGGUGCUGCAUAAACAUCUAUCCAACCUCUCUUUCACUUCCCCAUCCCCCUCCCAACUAUUGCACCAAAUCCACGGGACCCCUUGAUAACCUAAGUCAACCAGGUUAUUGUCUUUGAUAAACCUGUUGAACUCCCUAAAACAUCUUUCAGCUCUAUCCCUUCCUCCCCACUUCUCCUCACUAGACCUCAAAUCAUUAAAAUCUCCUACAAUGAUCCAGCCAUCCCCCCAGUCCCUCAUCCUGUCCUCUAAAUAUUUCCAUUGUGCUUUUCUAAUGUUACUAUCUGUGCUUGCAUAAACACACACUAGCCCCCAGUAUCCUUUAGUAUCCUUGUCCUCAACUCUAGCACUAAUACACCAAUCAGUACUUACAAUCUGGUCUAAAAUCACCUCAUUGUUCCAGAAUAAUGCUAGACCGCCUGCUUUACCUAUUGAAUUCACAAAAAAGCUAUUGUCAUACUGAAUCUUCCUUUGAACCUUGCCCAUAAACCCUUCCUGAUUCUUAGUUUCACAAAGGAACACCACCUUAGGAGAGUGGAAGUUAGUCACUUCCUUUAGUUGGGGACUUGUCAAGGGGCCUCCUACACCUCGACAAUUCCACACCACAACCUUCAUUUACACUUUGGAGGCUUUCCGGGGCUAGCCUCCAUUUCCCCUAUUGUACUAACAUUUAUUAGAUCCAGUUUCAUAACCUUUACCUUCGGUACAUUAUCAUCAUCCUCCUCUAUCGGUUGUGUUCCCUGAAACAUACCAUCAGCCUUCCUUUUAGCACACGAAACCUGCGUUACUUGUCCAUUUGUAUCUGCCUUUAAGGAUGUUUUAGCCGGCCUCCCUCUUCUUUUAAAACUGCUUCUUUUUUCAGCUUUGUUAUCUUCUUCCCCUGGAGUAGCCUCCUUUCUUGGCAUUCUUGCAUUUGUCUCCUCCUGCUUUAUUGACCCUACCCGCAAACUUUCACAUUCCUGUUUUGAGCUGUCCGUUUCCAUAUCCUCAUAAUCUACUGGUGGGAUUACGCUGCUCCCUCCUUUACUCCCUUCCUGUACCCUACCCUCCUUUUCACCAUUUCCCUCCAUUAAGACCACAGCCAAACUUUCCACCCGUUGGUUUGCCUUUCCAUACUGCCUGCUGUCUUUUAGAAUCUCAUCCCACCUCUCUUCAUAUUGUCUCGUCAUCAUUUUCUCCUUAUCCCCCCUUUCCUUUCCCCCCAAGACUCUACCAUUUUUUCCCCCAAGAGUUAAUGUAUCUCCAGCCAUUUGUACUCCAGUUUGAACUUCACUACUAGGAGACCCUGCCCCCACCCUCCUUGCAUCAAUUUCACUUACUCCUUCCAGCCGUCCCUUUAAGGGAGAUACCAUUAUAUUUCCAGCUCUCAUCCAGGCACCAUAUUGUUCCUCUCGCUUCUCCCCCCCACCCUUCCUACCACAGUACAAGUCCUAUCACUAUGCCCAAUGAUACCACACCUAUAACAGAAAUCAGGGCAGCGUUCAUACCUGAACUCAACCCACACUGCCUGGUUCUUACAGUUGAUCUUUGUCCCUCUAACCAGUGGUUUCGUUAUAUCUACCUCAGCCAUAAUCUUCAUGUGGCGACCCUCUUUCCCACCACUUCCUGGGAGAAUCACUCCCCUCACUGAUUUAAAGAUCCCUCCUAUUUUCAAACCCACUGCUCUGCUCAACCAGUGCACCGGUAGGUUCCAUAGUUGAAUCCAAAGAAAGGAAUGCUGGAAAAAGCUGCUGUUUGUAUCAUACCCCUCUACCCACUCCUUCACUAUCAGCAACUGGUUGUCCAUGACCCAAGGCCCUCCAGAUAAGAUCUUUUUCUUUUCCCCUUCAUCUCCCAGAUGGAAAUGGAAUAAGUUAGGACCUAACUCAGUCACUUUCAUCUUUGAGGGGUAUCCCCAUGCAUGAUUUGUAAAGUUCUUUAACCCCGUAAAGUUGGCAAUUUUUUCACCAAUCAGCUUUCCUACCAGGCUUCCUUGACACUCAGAGACGCCUUCUUCCAGGUCCUCACCACUCAGAUCGACACCUCCUAACUCUGUUUCAGACAAGUCAAAAUUUUGAAAGGCUCUUUCUAAAGCAUCCGCCAUUGCUGUGACGAGAGCUCCUUGAGAAACCAAGCACUAUUUCUGAGCUAUGAGUGACCCACUGACAGACCUGUGAAGAAUUGCAAAGACAGACAAAGCUGUGUUAUCCGUACACACUAAAAACCAACCAGAAAAACAGAGAGGAACUCGACAGAAAAAGCACAGGCACAAGAAGAAACGAAAGAAAAAAGAAAAACCAACAAACCACUAUCCCACUCCCGACCACAUAACAGCAUUAAAGAAAGGGACACAAAUACGACACUCCAACUUCCGAUCACAUGCUCUGACUCAAUGGAUCAUAUCUUGCCCAAAGCGUUUACUCCUCCAACCGAUUCCAAACCACUACAGACAUUGUCUCCCAUUUUGAAGCCGGAAGAAAGGUGGCUUCUGGACAGGGAACAUGAAAGCAAAGGUUGAACUAAAGAUUUGAUUUUAGAUCUGAAAAUUACGCUGUAGGAAAAAGUGCUAUGUGUUUGUACCUCACCCACUCUCCCACACCGAGGAGGGGAACCUCUAAAGUUAGAGAGAGAAGCUCUCAAGUUAGAGAGAAGCUUUGGAAGUUAAUUACCAACGUACCAUGCCGUACAUGUUUGUAAGGAUUUCUAUCCUAUUGGCAAAAGUCGGUUCCAUACAAUUAAUCAAUUCAUUUCACUUCUAUUGGCUCUACUAUUUAUGCAUGUUACGACACUCUUUCCCUUAUAUUUUGCCUUUAAUAUUAUGAGUCAAUAGUAAUAAUGGGCCUUUUUCUUAAAAUUAUACUAUUAUACAUAGGUAGUUUGGUCUAACGCUAAAUUCAUGUUUGUCUUUCUUUUAUUCCCUUUACAUCUCAAAGUAUACUAUAGUUUGUAAUCAUUGUGGUGAUGAUAUUACCAGCUGGUACUUAUAGUUUAAGGCAGAGACAUGAUAUUAACAACUAUCUCAUUGAAACAUAAGUCAAAAUCAUGACAAGUGUGAGUCUUGGUUAAUGCACAAUUUGUUAGUGGAAUUUAUAUUUAUAAAACUCAAAAAAAAUUUUUGACAAUGCUAUUACUAAUUAAUUAAGGACUUCAUUGCUAUAAUUUAUCGCUUACUAAUUUAAACUAUAAAUGAUCUCAAUACUUUUCUCCAUGAUGUCGAUUUCUUUAGACUACGAAAGGGAAAAAUUAGUGACAUAUCCCUUACUGAUUACAACAUCAGCAAAAAUUAGUUAUAAACUUUUCCGGUGGUUUUAAAUCCCUCGGGCACUAAGGUUUUUUGCACAUCGAGUGAAUUAAGGAACAUAGGCAAUUCGUUCUGCAUACCAAGUCCUUGUUUAAGAUGCACGUACUAAAAUGCAUCCACUUCAUUAAUUUGGAAAAUUGCCAUAGUUUUUUUUAAGCAUUUUGAUUUUUUACAUGAUUCAAAAUUUUCUUAUUGGAUACAAUCACUUUGUGUCAAGAACACAUUUUCAAUCAUCUUUUUUAUCUUCUCAAUAAGAAAAUAAAAAUUUAUUCAUGCUUUUCUAACAUAUCCAAUCAUUGAUCUGAAAAAUAAAGAAUUAAAAAAAAAAGACAUUUUCAAUCAUUGCUUACGGGGCAACUUCCCCAUGUGAACCUCAUCAAACAAAGCCAAUAAUAUGAAGGAACAUCUAAAUACACUUUUGCCCUAAAGGCUGGUUGCCUUGGGGUCAAAAUUUAACCUUCGGGAGUAUAAUUACCCGCCAAAUUUAUUAUUUUUUUUAUGGGUAUAUAGUUCCAAUUUUGCCUCCUGUUAAGCUUAUAAAUAUAUUACGACCCAGAAAAUAAAGGAAUCUUGAAUAGUAACAUGUCCAUUGACUUGAGUUGUUAUCAAUUUGGCUACUUCGAUUCCAUGAGGCCAAUCCAAUUCACACUAGCUAGAGAAAAUGGUGAUAAAGGCACUUAGAAAUUUAUAUGUAAUAUUGAUUGGUAGUAACUGAUAAGUAUAUAUUUUACGUGUUUUAAAUAUGUUUUAUUAGUUAGUUUUGGUGUGUUUUAACUACUUUUAUAACUAAUUAACUAGGAAUCUAGUGAAAAUAUGCAUUUUGUGGUUUGAAGUGUAAAAAUUGUAUUUCUAUGGAUUUUAAUGGUGAAAACUUCAUGUUUUUGUAGGUUUAAUGAUUCAAUCAUCAAAUGACAUGAUUUGAGAAGAUAAUUAGAUGAUUGAUGAUGUUUUGAAGUGAUAAAAAGAGAAUACAAAGUGCAAGAGAGGAAAUGCAAUCAAGAAUAAAAGAAGAAAAUUUUUGUAGCUUUGACAUAUUGUCGUAUUUCGGCAAUAUAUUGAGCUACAAUGAUCGGAUUAAGGUGAUUCUUAAACCAUUUGAAGCUAAAAUAUAGAUCUACAUUUGGCAUGAAGGCAUCGAAACCCAUGUCAGUCAUUUUCCUUGUCAAAAUGUUGAAAUACAGAAGUGCAACUCUGUUCUCGAAAGCUAAAACAGAGCUCUGGCUAGUCGAGGGUAUUUUCAUCAUUUCUUAGUCCACAGAGCUCCAAAUGAGAUGAUUCUUAAGGCAUUAGAACCCUAACUCAAAGAGCUACAACUUUCAUAUUUUGUACAAGAGUUAGUUCGGCCUCUAUCAUUAAGAAAAUAGUAGUUGAAGUGGUGCCAAAUGCAUAGAAGUGAAAACGCGAGCUAUCAAUACUCGACCUGAAGUCGCGUAUUCCUGAGGUCAUGCAUUCUCUUCUAUUUUCUGCAACUUGCCCUGCUUUCACAUAACUUUUUCAUCUCAAUUCCAACUAUCAAUUUCGGCUAUAUCUGAUCAAGAAAAGUGUGGAAAGUUUGAAAGACAACUCAUAGGAGUUUCAAGAGUCAAAAAUUACAAUUAGAAACAACUCAUUUGGCUCUUGAAUCCUCUAUAAAUAGAGGCCUUUGAAGAACAUUUUCACAACUUUGGAAGGUUAGAGAAACUCCACAAAAACAUAGUCUUCACUAGAAUUUCCUUAGUUCAUUAGUUAGGGUAGUAUAGUAUAGUUAGUGUAGCUUUUCCUUCUUGUAUUUAUAGUUAGGUUUGAAUGAAGAUUCAGGAGCAAAGAUAGAGAGGUUGAUCUCAUGUGACAAGGGUGAUAUCUCUUCUACUACUUUCUCUUUUGUAUUUGAUUUCAUAUUUAACUAUACUACAAAUUUGGCUUUGUUUUUUUUUUUUUAUCAUGUUUAGUUAAAGUUUAUGCCUAGAGUAUGGAUGACCUUUUUAUAUCUUGUUUGUGAUAUUUAACUGGUUAUUUGAUGAUGUUAUUUUUGAGCAAGUUAUUUAUCACUUUUGCUUUUCUAAUCAUGAUUAACUGGCCAUUAGUUGUGAUUAUCUAAAAGUGUUAAGUUUGUAAUGAGAAUUGGAGUUUAACACUAGUUCAAGGAAGUGAUAAAUUUAGGGAGUUCACUCAUGAGAGUAGAGGAACACCUUUGUGACCUAAGUGACUUGUUUCAUAUAAUUUCAUAGAAAAAAUGAACUUGUAAUUAAUUUCAUAACCACGAGAGUAAGUAUGGUUUAGCUAUAUGUAUAGUUGAUUCACUACGAGAGUAGGUUUCACAUACAUUAGAAAAUUACAUCAUAACUAGUCAAGAUAAUAUCAUUCAUUUAAUCAGUAAUCUCAUUUGCAUGAGUAGUAAGGCAUUCCAUAUCUCUAGGAGGUUUUUAGUAUUAUUUUCAUUACUUUUAUGUUUAUGGUAGUCUAGAUAAUAAUGGAGUUCGAAAACUACUAGUAAUUGAAAAUUUUCCCUGUGGGAUCGACCUUUAAUACCCUAUACUCGCUCUCGACUCGUAUACUUGAGAAAAAUCACGUGUGCGGUAUUUAGAAUUUAUAAAUGUAAAACUUGACUGUAGAUGAACUAAUUGAUAUAUGUAUACCCCGCACUCGUCAGUAACCAGCUUGUAUUGAUCCCACUAUUGUGGAUAAUUGUGCUCUUAUGAAAAAAAAUUAUAAAAAAAUUAGCAAAAUUUAUGAUAACAAAUUAAAUUUAUUCAUACAAAUCAGUGAAAGAAGUAGAAUUUUAAAGUCCAUGAUGAAAUUAAUACUUUCAAGGGCUCUAUUAGGAAGACUUCACUUGUUGGUGAAACUACACUAGCACAGUUAUAUGCACAUUUACUGUUUUGGUAUCUAAUUUCCUUGCCUUAAGUUGGGUGCAGAUGUUUAUAUUACAAAUAGAUGGUAUCAUAAAAUUGUUGUAUUCACGUUUGUUCUUUUUUUUCUUCCUUAAGUUUUUUUCUUUAUUCUCGUGACUUCAAAAAUACGAACUCAAGAAAUUGGCUGCUUAAUCAAUAUGUCAUACAGGCUUCGCUAGUGAGGUAUAACUUCACAACUAGAGUCAAUAGAAAUUAUCAAAUGAUUUUUUAACAUCCAAAUUAAGCAAUAAAUUUUGUUUUCAUUUUAUGACAUAUAAUAGUACUACUUCAUGAGAGAUUUUAUAGUUUCUUUUAGGUAUCAUACCUACAAGUGAUAUUUGUCAUUGGAUAGUGACAGAAGUGUUAAUGAUUGUAAGAUUAAAUAUUGUUAAAUAUUGAAAUUUAAACUAUUUAUCUUUAUUGAAAGAUACAAGUUAAAGAAUCGUUCAAGGGGGCAAUUUUCCAUCUUGUCUUUUUGAAAAAACGCUAUCACAUUGUAUAGGCAUGAUAGGUUCAAAUUUGUCAUUAAAUUUAUGAUUGAUUUUCCUUUUAUUCAAGCCAAAUAUUGUUUUAAUUAUCAAAUUCUACUUAUAUUUGGUUAAUUGUACUAAUUGUAGGGCGGUAGAGCAAAAGUUGCUAAAAAUAGGCGAUUUUCUGCAAAUUGGUUGUCAAGGCUGAAGGAUUUGGGAUUCGCAUGUUCAAGGCCUGUUUCCAAGUUUGAUUCAAACUCUGGACAGUUUUAGAGGAAGAUUUGGAAGAUUUGAAAUUUCAUUAUUAGUUUUAUGGUUGAAUUAGGAAUCUUGGAAUAAUUUCUUUUGUGAUUUAUUUUUCUAUUUAGGAGACUAGUUGUUAUUUAGUAGUAGACUUCAAUUAGAAAACAAAGAGAAAAAGAAGGCCGGAAUCCCGCUUGAUUAAUACCUUGGCCAGGGAACAAUCUCGGUGGGGAGGACGGCCACUUAGCCUCUCAAUUCAUCUUGCUUUUCGUUAGUUUGAGAGGAAAACCAAUUGCAACUAGAUUCAAUGGAGUCUGGCAGAAUUUCUUCUAGGAUGCGUAGCUAAAUCCUCAAUUUUUAGUCGAAGGUCAAUUUGAAAAUUCGGUUCCAAAUAUCUGUGAAAUCGAAUUAUUUUACUUAUUUCUUUUAUUUAUUGGUAUUCGCACGUUUUCUGAUUUAACUUUUUAUGAUUGUUUUGUUAUUUGAAUGUCAAGGGUCCGAUAUUCGAAUUAACUUAAUAAUCUACUGCCAAAUUAACCGGUUAAAUCCGUAAUUGUUUGAUUGAUUAAUAUCAGUGGCGACUAGCGUGAUUGGUCCCAUGUUAGGAAAACGUCUGAUCUAAUUUAAACAAACCGUCGUAGCGUGUUUGUUGAUUAGGGUUGGGCUUUUCUAAUUCUUAAUUCAAUUGAGAAAUUAAAUCCCCCGGUCGUACCUAGGAUUAUUUUUUUGUUAGCGAAAUAGUUAAUGGUCGUACCUUGACUAUCGAAAAAGUAAGGAAGAGUUGAUUGUUUAUCGCGUGUACGACAACUAUAAUCAAUCUAUUAAUGAGUAAUUGAAUUAUCUUUGCAUCAGUAAUCAGUUGAAUGGACCGUGUCUGAAAAGUUGUACCUUUGGCUAGAGUCUUAUCUGUUGUUGAUUCAUUCAUAUCUAUCUUCAUGCGUUGUUUUAAUUUAGUUAAUUAGUUAUUUUUAUAAAAACCCCUCAUCUCUGGACUCUAAAAGAAAUAAAUUAUUUCUAGUUCCUGUGGAUUCGAUCCUACUCACCAUACAAUCCAACCUGCAAUUGUAUGAACCCCAAUCUCGCUUCCUAGUCCACCAUUUUUCUCUAGGUAAUAAUCUCCCUUCUAAUUUCUUCACAAAAUGCACCUUUCAUCACCUCCAAUAGCGUCGACAUGAUCUUUACCCCAGAAGACUAUUCACCGACUCUCAAUUGACGUUAGAAAAUCUAAGAGUAAUUCUACUUUACCCUAAGAUUGAUAUCAACAAGACAAGGACAAUUUAGAAUUAUUACACGCCUCUUCUUAAUAGGAAAAAGAAAUAGAGAAGAAAGUCAGGCCAGGUCUAAUUUCUUUUCAAAGGCAAUACAACAUUACGAAAUCAAGCAUUCAUUCAUACAAAUAUUUCAUAGUCACCGGUUUGCUGAGUAGAAAAAUUUAGACAAAAACUUAAUAUUAUAUUGUUUAAGAGUUAACAAUUUAGAGCUUAAUCUCCUUGUACUUUGGAGUUAACAAUUUAGAGCUUAAUCUCCUUGUACUUUGGACUAAACUUGAACGUGAAAGGAAAUCCCAAAACCAUAUUGGGCAUGAAUUCACACUUAAUAUACCCAAUAAAAGAUGGCGACUGGUGAAAGGCAGUGGAGACUGGUGGAGAGAUUUGAGGAAUAGAAGCAGACGGAAAAGCAACAAAUUUUUGCCGAAAAACGGUCACUUUCAUGGUUAAUUUUGCUACUCUCCAAUUGUACUUGACCAAUUACAACAAUUUCAUGGAGUUUGAUACGUGAAAAGAAUUUUUUAUAAAUUUUAUUUUGAUCCAUAAUGUUAUCUUUACAUAUAUAAAACAUUUUACAAUUUUGAUUUUGGCGCAGUUAACUUUUGGUAAACAAAAAUGCUCAUGUUUAAAAAACCGGAAAUAAAACAAAACAAGAAACAAAAGAAAUAAGAGGGUAGCAUAGACAUUUUGGAUUUUUCCGUUAAUUUGGAUGAUUUCCACCCACGUUCUAAUUUAAUCCAAAACACAAAGGAAUUACGUAGAGGUUUUAAAUAAUGAGGGAGCUUCAUGAUCGAACCCCAAACCACAAGGCGAUUUACUAUAUUUUACUCUUAAAUUUUGGUUUCAUCUCAUAGCAUACAAGAGUUCUAUUUCACUAUCUGUAGACAAAGACUUUCUAUGGUUGAUGUACCAUAGGAAAAAAUCUGCCUAUACAACGUGAUAGCAUUUUUUCAAAAACACAAGAUGGAAAAUUGCCCCCUUAAACGGGGAAAUUCAUGAUCUUUCCUCGAACAAAGAAUACUCACGCCUAUUCAAGAUGGAAAAUUGCCCCCUUAAACGUCUAUUUGUCAAUUCUUGAAAAAAGAAUACUCACGCCUAAAACACGGCCUCUUCAUCUGCAGAAUUCUAAAAAGUUAGGUAAACUCUAUAAACAAGUUGAUAGGUACAAUCGUACCCAAGAUCAAGUACAGAUAGUUGUACAUUCACUGCUGCAAUAACUAAUCUGAUGACUUACAAACAUAUCAUGGUCAAUCGUUGAAUGGUAAUGAGUCUUUUGUUAUGCAUUAGUAUUAGUGUGUACACUCUAAUAGAUUGAUACUUAUACUCUUUAAAUUAUCAUAAUAAUACCCUUAAUUAACUUUAACUCUUAAAAAGAAUACGUGUUAAUACACGAGAGUGUGUAACCUGAAUUGUUACUUAUACAUUAGUGUGUAAUAGAUAGGGAUGGCAAUGGGGGCGGGUGCCCGCAGGCAACCGCCCCGCGGGGGGCUCUCGGGGCGGGGAGGGGGGAAUUUUUUCCCCCCGUUUAGAAACGGGGCAGGGGACGGGGGAGUAUACCCCCGCCCCAUCCCCCGCAAAAAAAAUUAUAUAUAUAUAAUUAUAUAUAAUAUGUAAUUUAAUUAGUUAUAAACUUAUGAUAAUGAUAUUAUUAGUUAGAUGUAUUAUAUAAUGUAUAUUAGUGUAUGUAAUAUAAUUAAUAUUAUCAAUUAUACGAAUAAUUAGACAUGUCUACUAAUAGAAUUUAUUAAUUAGUUAUACUAAAUUUACUAAUACAUUUAUACUAAAUUUCUAAUUACAUUUAAUAGAAUAACACUUUUUUCUAAAAAAAAAAGCACAAACACAAUAAUGAAUUAGUGAUUGUAUUUUUACCAAAAAUGAAAACUUAACUAUUUUAGUUGCAUUUAUUUCAUCAUGUUGGAUUGUAUUCAAAUAAUUUUUGUUUGAUUGUUUUUAUGAGUUUCAAUUGUAAAAUUAAAAUGAAUAAUAACUUGAUGAAUAAUAAUGUCAAUCGUUGAAUGGUGUGUACACUCUAAUAUUAUGCAUUAGUAUUAGUGUGUACACUCUAAUAGAUUGAUACUUAUACUCUUUAAAUUAUCAUAAUAAUACCCUUAAUUAACUUUAACUCUUAAAAAGAAUACGUGUUAAUAACUCUUAACCUGAAUUGUUACUUAUACAUUAGUGUGAAAUAGAACGGCAAGCAUUGAGCAACUUAUAGGAGAAAUAGUCCUAUAAGCUGUUGGAUGACUAAUAUAGCUCUAGCUGUAAUGUUUUAAUUAAAUUACAUCACUAACGUUGGGAUGACUAAUGGUUUAAAAAUAAUUGAGUAAUUGGAAAAAAAAAAAGAGACUAAUUUUCAUUGAAACCCACCGACAAACUAAACGUGUCCAUGGCUUUUGAAUAGUGCAUUCAACGUUUAAUUGUAUAGUCCAGUUCAUUGCAGAUUACAUGGAGUAAAGAUUGUGCUCUUUCCUUUUUCACCCCUUUUGGAAUCGAUACUGUGGAGAAUUGGGUUUUUCCCUUCUUUUUUUCUUUUCUUUCUUUCUGUGCUUUGCAAAACAUAGGUAAAAUUAUGAAAUCCGAAGCAUUCUUUAAUUGGGAUUAAGUAUUGUUCUUGAAAUUAAAAAGAAGAAAGAAAGAACAACAAAAUUCCCUGAUUGGUUGCAUCGUGCUUCCAUAGAAGCUCUCUUAGUGUGAUACACUGCUUUCAAUCAGUUUAACAUGGAAAAAAGAAAGAGAUGAAAAGCAAAUUUGGUGGGGAUAAUUUCAGAAACCUCCCCUGAAGAUUUUGACUAUUCUACUGGUCUCCCUUCAGAUUUUAAAAAUUACACUAAUCUUCCUUGAAGUUAUAACAUUUAAAUUCAAUCAAUAAUUUAAAAAAUGAUAUUAUGAAAGAGAAAAUAAUAUGAUUUUAUCAUUGCCCCCCAUCUUACUACAUUAUUUAAUUAAUUUAAUAGCAACCCACACAUUAAAGAAAAAUAUAAAAUUUGUUAUUUAUCAUUAAAGAUCAAAUCGCUUAUAACAUCAAAUAAUAGUAUAUUAUUUAUAUUUUUCACUUAACAUAAUAUCCAAAUUACUCUUUUCAAUUACAUACUCAUUGUUAGACAAUCAACAACAAAUAACCAAAAAAUUUGCAACCAAAAUAUUACAAAAAAAAAUAAACUUUAACAUCAUAAAUAUUCUUAUCAACAUAUUAAAGUUAGUUACUGAAAUUUUUAUGGUGUUAAACUUCACUCUUUGUAAUAUUUUGGUUACAGAUUUUUUUUGAUUAUUUUUUAUUAAUUAUGUUUGAUGAUGGGUUUGUAAUUGAAAAGAAUAAUUUAAAACUUACAUUAAGUGAAAUAUAUAGAGUGAUAUACUAUUUUUUAUAACAUAUGUGAUUCAAUCCUUCUUGAUAGGAUUGGUAAUAGAGGUAGAGGGGGGAGUCGGCUGCAUCCGGUCUUCUUUUCAUAGAUAGUACAAUAUUGCGAAAUCAAUCGCAUUCACACAAUAAUAUUUCGAAGUCAAUGCAUGGCUAAGUUGCAUAAAAGUACGAACACUUGUUAUUAUAUAGCUUAAGAUUCAAAACUUUAGAGCAUAACCCUCCACCUAACACAAUUGAAUAAUGAAUAUUCACGUUUGUCAAAUCUGUCAAAGCACAGUUUGAGGACAACCCAUUCCAACCUGCAAAAGAUUUUUUACUUUUCUAAAGUUGUUGAGAGCUGUAAAAAGACCUACCAUGCUUACAUCCUCCGAGCCUUGGGAGUUAAAAAUGAAGGCACUGAGUGCUAUAAAAAGGGGGCUAGAGGCUGCCUAGAAGCAUAUCAGCCUAAAACAAGAAUUUGUUGUUAUGAUGGGAAGCAAAGCAAAAGCAAUGGGGUCUGGGCUGACUCCUCUUCUUGCCACUGUUUUAGUGGUAUUUGUUGCUCUUGGCUUGCCCUCAGAAACAGCAGCUGAUGAUCACUACAAGUAUUCAUCUCCUCCUCCUCCUUACCACUAUCCCUCACCACCGCCUCCAGUGCAUUUACCUCCACCAGUGUACAAAUACAAGUCCCCACCACCACCUCAUCAUGUUUACAAGUACAAAUCUCCACCACCCCCACCACCACACCCAGUUUACAAGUAUAAGUCACCACCACCACCUCCUCAUCCGGUACCACACCCAGUUUACAAGUAUAAGUCACCACCACCACCUCCUCAUCCGGUAUACAAGUAUAAGUCUCCUCCGCCACCACCACACCCAGUUUACAAGUAUAAGUCACCACCACCACCUCCUCAUCCGGUACCACACCCAGUUUACAAGUAUAAGUCUCCUCCGCCACCAGUUUACAAAUAUAAGUCUCCUCCACCACCACCUCCAGUGUACAAGUACAAGUCUCCACCACCACCAGUUUACAAGUACAAAUCACCACCACCUCCUCCCCCAGUUUACAAAUACAAGUCUCCACCACCACCAGUUUACCACUACAAGUCACCACCACCUCCUCACCCAGUUUACAAGUACAAAUCUCCUCCACCACCAAUUUACCACUACAAGUCACCACCACCUCCUCCCCCAGUUUACAAAUACAAGUCUCCACCUCCUCCUCACCACUACUAAGCAAUUGCUUCUGAGGUAAUAACACUUGUUCAAUAACACUUGAUAGCCAGCUGAAUAUUUGCAGGCAAAGGAGAAGGAAACCAGUGUUUGAGACCUUCUUGAAGAUGUAGAAGCAUAAGAAUUAAAGCCCAAUGUGAAGAUGAUGAUUUCAAGUUUUUCUACGUUACCAUUUCAAUAUCUAAAUUGGUUGUAGCGCCUUAGUUCCUUUGUUUAUGGGAUUUGUAUCGUUUUACGUACCAUGCAGUACAUGUCAUGUUUGUAAGGUUUUCUAUCCUGCCGGCAAACCGCAGGUUCCAUGUAAUAAAUCAAUACUAUUUAUAUUACGACACUUUUCUCUGUUUCUCUUAUAUUUUGUCUUUAAUAUUCUUAAUCAUAUUUUUAACAAAAAUAUUCAAACACUUCAGCAAUGGUUCACCUAGUUGAUCAUCGAAGCAGAGGCAAUUCCAAUUAUUUAUCAAUAAAUAGGAUAUAACUACCAAACAAGCGAUGGCAGUUAACCCCUCCUUACUGUGUCGGUGAUCAAGGUACGCCCGUUAAUCACUGCUCUAAUUGAGAAAUAAUCCUAAGUACGCCCGUAGAAUUUAAUUCCCCAAUUGCCUUACAUAUUAGAGGAGCCCUAUUCUAACCAAAUAACGCACUAUCAGGGUUAUUUUAGAUUAGCCCGCGUAUUCCCCUGACAUAAAUCUAAUCAUGCCAGUUGUCAUUAUUUUGAGGUAAUUAAACAAUUACGGAUUUAACACCUCAAUUGACAAUAGAUUAUUAAAUUAAUUAAUUAUUCGGAUCCAAGACAAUCAAUUAAUUAAACAACCAUAAGCACUACAAUCAGAGAAUAUGCAAAUACCAAUAAAUAAAUAAAAAAUAAAAUUAAAUCGAUCUCACAAUUUUUAGGCGAAUCAGAGCAUCCGUUGUCCCUUGACUAGAGCAAGGAAAUUAGUUCAUAUUUGAUGAACUAAACCCAUACAAAAGGGAAGCGAGAAAUGCAGCCAUUAUCCUUUGAAAUCUGGAAAAUUCAACUUGUCCGAAUAUCGAAUAGAUAGUAAUACUACAAAAGGUAAUUCAUAGCUUCCCUUUCGUCUGACACACAAGAAGAAAAAAAAGGGCUGCUAAUAACUAAAGGAGGAAAAGUCAAAGUCCUAAGCUAUGCUACAAGACGAAAAACUAAAGAAGACAAAAAGGCAGUGCUCAUUCCCUGCAAUCUCAAUUCCUAUUCUAUCUAAGUGCUCUCCAAUGUGCGGCGGCUCCCCUUCCGGAGAGGACGAAGUGGCACCCUUUUUUCCUGCGCAAUUUUCCUAUAUAAAGUAGUGCUCCUUGCAGCGGCUCCUGUGCGAAAAAAUGAAGACUUCGGCCCAAUUUGCCUAACAAGGGCUCACGUUUUGUUGUUCUAAAAAUGUCCCUAGGACAAACUCUAUCAUCUGAACUCUUUUCUUGCCAAAUUAGUACCUGUUAUUAUAUUUUCGUUCUACUCCCUGAAAUAAAUGCAAAAUAUCAAAAGUGAGUAGAAUCUAGCAAUUAAUCCACAUUAGGUCAGGUAAUAGGGAAAAUUAAUAAUAAAAUAAAUGAUAAAAUUGCAAUCUAUCACGGGACCACUGUGGUAAGGUGUGUUUCGCCUAUUAUAAGGAGUUCGGAGAGUUAGACGUGUUGGAGGCGGAGGCGCGGUCACUCCUGCACGCCCUCCAGCUGUGUGCAGAUCGCGAGGUACGGGCGUUGACUGUAGAAUCUGAUUCAAAGGUGCUUGUUCAACUAGUUUGCUCGGAUAUGAGGUCGAAGUGGCCGGUGUGUAUCGUAUUGCGGGAAAUAAGACAUUUGAUCCGGCGGAUGGGUGCAUCCCUUCAUCAUAUAUUCCGUGAGGCCAAUUCGGUGGCGGACGCAUUGGCUUCUCUGCAAUUGGGAGGGCAGCAGUACUACACCUCAGGCGUGGCGCUGCCUUUCAGGCCCAGAGGAGAGGCUCUGCUGGAUCGUCAAGGAGUACCUCGCAUCCGUGAGGCGCUCACUAAGGUUUGAUAGGCUAUGUCCUCCUUUCAAAAAACUUAUUUCAUCUACUCCUUGUAAUCAUUUUUCUUAUCAAUAAAUUGAGGCUUUUUAUUUAAAAAAAAACAUAUAAUUUAAGGCAAAAAUAUGAUCCUAGCGAGUAUCGCACUGAGACAUUAGGAAACAUCAUUAAAAGAGUAUUUCUUGAGUUAGUGCAACUAUUUCUUAGGGGAAUUUAUAGUUACAAAAUUCAAAAAUUUGAGAUUCUAUUACUGAUUAAUUAAGGGCGUUAUCACUAUUUUUCUUAUUAUCACCAUUAUUUACCCCACAUACUAUAAGUUUUUUUAGGGCACAGGAAAAGAGGUGGGCCGAUGUUUAGUUAUGUACAAAAGUUCAAAAUUUGUAGAUAACUUAUCAUGUGCCCUUAGAGCGUAGAAUACAGAAAAAAUAUCUUAAACUAUAACUAAUCCUAAUAUUUUUCUCUAUGAUAAACUAGCUCUUAUCCAUUUCUUUAGAUGAUGAAAGGAAAUAGUUAGUCACCUGUCCUCUAGUGAUUACAACAGCAUCAAAACAAAUUAGCACUCUUUUCCCGUAGUUUAAAAAUCCCUCAGCCACUAAGAUUUUGCAUGUCGAACGAAUUAAGGAACAUAGAAGGUUCGUGCUGCACCACAGUGUCCUUGUUGACGAUGCAAAGACAGAAAUGCAUCCGCGUAUACUUCCUUAAGCAUUUUGAUUACUUUAUGAUUCGAACUUUUCUUGUCUGACAGCUGGACUUAAUUGAAAAACACAAGUAACAAUAUUUCAAAGUUGAUUCGUCAAAGUUUACCCAAUUGGUGAAACUUUCUUCAUAGAGCUGACUUUGUAUUAGGUGACAAUGAUAUGGAAUUGAUGUCCUUCCCUUUUUCCUUUUUUUGUGUUGAAGACGCACAACGUUUUCAAUGGCAAAUUUAUAUGGGCUUUUCACGACAAAAUGUGUUCUGAAAAGUUCAUUCCAGAGGUUAAAAUUUUGUGUGUUAAAAAUUUGCUUCUCAGGACUUUGAUGGGAAAGUCUUGGUGUUUCCAAAAAGUUUAAGCAGGAUGCUUCUGGCUUUCUCUCCAUGUAUUUGUGAGUUAGAUCUAAAAUUAUCAGGGCUCCAGAGAUCUCUUGAAAUCGCAGCAUAUAUUGAAGUCUUUCCAGAAGGAGUCUUUUUUUUUUUUUUUAUGAAUUAUGAUAGAUAAUUAAUCUGACGGUGCAUAUAUAUAUAUAUGUGAUUUGCAGUAGGGUGUUUGACGAAAUGGUUAGGCUUCCUAAGUAAUGAUAGGAAUGCCAUUUGCAAAGAAGGACAGGGGGCUGGUGCUGUCAUAUUUUAUGCGAUUUGAUCCGUUGUUGUAUAAGUUUAAACUUUUGACGUGCAAUUGUGCUAUAAUAUUAUACUAAAUAUAUGUGUGAAAUAUUUUGUCUAUAUACAUCACUUUUAUCAUGAAUACAACAGCUGAGUAUAAUAAUAUAGUAUAAUGUAAUUGUACACCAAAUAAUGUAGCAAAUAUAACAAUUGAUCCGAAUUACACGGAACCAUAACAACAAGAUCACCGCCUCCCAAAUUUUACAAAAUUAGGUUUUUUUUUUUUCUCUUAGAUUAUUGAAAAUUUUCAAAAAUAAUCUACAUAAUUUAAGCUUUUGUCCUACAAAAAUUUGAAGAGAUUUUACAUUACAAGCUUAAGCUUAGAUAUAUUAAACUUUGCCCCCAAGAUUAAUUUUCCGUUUUUAUCUAUGAACCGAUCCAUAUAGCUAGUUAGACUGUAGUCCUCACAUUUGUGGGAUUUAACACCCAAGAUUCUCCUUCUUGGAAUGUAAAAUGUAGAUCUUCUAUGUUAAUAAUUCAAGACCCUACUGUCAUAAACGAAAUGACUGAUCAACUCCUGUAAACCUAAUUUGACAACAUUUAAAUGGAGAACUUUAGCUAAAAGAAUUAUGGUCAAGCUAAAGAAAAAGCCAGUUAUUUUCCAACAUAUGCAAUCAUUGAUCAGGAAAAAAAAAAAAAAGCAAAAAGACAUCUUCAAUCAUUUAAUAGCUCACAGUGCAAAUUAACCCCUAAGCGAAAACUGGUUGCUCUAGAAUCAAAAUUUUACCUUAGUUACCCAGGCAACUUUUUUGUUGCUUUUUUUUUUUUCUUUUCCUUUUUGGGUAUAUAUAUAGCUCCAGUUUUGCCCCCUCUGUCAAGCUUAUAUAAUUAUUAAGAUAAUAAAAGUGCCUUGAAUAGUAUUAAUAUAUCCAUUGACUUGAGCUGUCAUCGAUCGGUUUGGGCUACUUCGAUUCCAUGAGAACAAAUGGUAAUAAAAGUACUCAGAAAAUAGGGAGCCAUGAAACCCUUUUGUUCUAUUCAUUGCUAAGAUGCUUUUCUCUAUAAAGAGACUUCCUAACGAAAGUACUUUGUAGAUUUCUUUACUCCAAGUGGUGCAUGGAAAAUUAAAAUAUUCAAUUAUCAAAUAAAAUUCCCUUUUUUCGGUGUAGAUUUCAUCCAUCCAGCUGUUAACACAUUUUAUGUAUCCGAAUUAUAUAUUCUCUACCAAAUAUUGUAACUUUUCUGAGCAUCUUUACAUUUUUAUUCCCACCUAACAAAUUAGUUGUUGAGCAUCUUUACAUGCUAUCGGAUCACAAGUUAAUAAUCUUUUAAAGAACAUGUUAAAUUAAUUUAUUGGUAUGAAUAGUCAAAGAAGUAUAUUAAAGUUAGUAAUCUUUAAACACCACGAUGCAAUUAAUACUUUCAAGCUCAAGGUCUUUUUUUUUUUUUUUUUUGGUACUGUACUUCCUUGCUUUAUAGUAUGCACGUUUAUUUCUGUGGAUUGCUUAAGCUUAUAUUGUUAAUAAUUGGGCAUUUAACCAUAAAUUAUAAUGAUUAUGAAGUCAUAUAUAUAUAUAUAUAUAUAAGAAAAUUACCACAAUUAUUCAAUUUUUUUUGCAAAUUCAAAUUUUAUUAAUAAGAAAUAGGCAGUAAGCUUUUACAAACGGAAAAAAAAAAUCCUACAACAACUCUAGGACCUUUGAAAGAAAGAAAAAAAAAAGAAAAGAAAAGCUUAAGGACUCUACCUCAUAGAAGCUAAACAAUCCUACAAAUAAACUGCAAAAUAAAUCACAAUAACGCAAAAUUUUUGUCUUUCUUCCGUAUGAAAUGAAACUACGAAGUCAAGAAUUGACUCCUUUAACCGCUAUUGCCAGCGGGCUCCGUCAGCAAGAUACAACUUUGCAAUUUGAUUCAAUAGAAAUCCUCAAAUAGCUAUUUUGACAGGCAAAUUAAGCAUUAAUUUUGGUAUCCCUUCAUAAAAUACAAGAGUACUUUUGAUUAUAUCUAUAGAUCAACUUUCUAGGCUAUUUUGAUGUAUUAUAAGAAAAUCUGCCUCAACAAUUUUGAUAGCAUUUUUCCAAAAGCAGAAGAUGGAAAAUUGCCCAUUUGUACUGGGGAGUUCGUGAUCUUUUCCUCCUUCUAGUCUACUUACAAUUCUUGGAAAAAGGAAUACUCACAUCUCAAACAACUGCCUGUUCAUCUGCAAUGUCCUGCCGAAUUCUAGAAAGUUAGGUGGCAAUGCUAAUUACAUUUCAAAAUUGACUGCUGCGAUGACUAAUUCGAUGGCUUACUACAUGGUCAACGUUUGGAUCCCUUCCUGUCCUUUUUGGAUGCACAUUUUUUUUCUCUAGGCAAUAUAUAAUCUCCCAACUCAUUUCUUUACAAAUGCACCUUUAAUCACCACCAAAAGGUGUGGACAUGAUCUUUACCCUAGAAAACUAAUCACCGACAGGCAAAUUGACGUCAGAAAUACUAAGAGGAAUUCUAGUUUCCUUCGGGUUAAUGCCAUUUUGUACCCUUCAACUGUAACUCGAUUUCUAAACUAUAAUUUGUGACAUUAUAGUCCUUAAACUAUGAAACCCCUCUUACUUAAGUACAAUGGUUAAUACAAUACCCGUGACUAGACAAGCAACCAUAACAAAAAAAAAUCCAAAAUUAGAGAAAAGAAAGAAGUUUCGCGACCAAAGUAUGUAUCAAGGCAUAGUAUAGAAAUAAAAGUGUCCAAAUUAAGAGUUUAGGGAUAAAAGAGAUCAAGAUAUAGUUUAGGGAUUGAUUUGUCUCAAUUAGAGUUUUGAUGUCAACUAAGAAGAGAGAUAUAGUUGAAGGGUAGAAUAUAGAUAUAACAGUUCAAUGAUUGAUAUCAACGAGACAAUGACAACUUUGGAUUAUUACCAACCUCUUCUUGAUGGGAAAAGGAAAUAGAGAAGAAAGUCGGGCCUGGUCUAAGCCUGCUUCGGAGGCAAAACAACAUUAUGAAAUCACCGGCAUUCACACAAAUAUGUCAAAGUCACCGGCAUGCUAAGUUGCAUAAUUUAUACAAACACUGAAUAAUAUAUUGUUCUUAAAAUUUUUGUUUAAGAUUUAACAAUUAGAGCACGGUACACGAAUUAGCAAUAUUAAAUAAUGAAUGUUCACGAUUGAUAAAGUUAUCAAAGUACAGUUUGAGGACAACCCAUUCCAACGUGUACAAGAUGUUUAGCCUUUGAAAAGUUAAUUAGAGAAGGUGACGAGAUUUUACUAGGCUUAAAUCUUCUAGGCCUCGGAAGUAAAAAAUGAAGGCCUUUGAGUGCUAUAAAAAGGGGGCUAGAUGUUGCCUAGAAGCAUAUCAGCCUCAGACCACAUUUUGUAGCAAUGGGGAGCAAAGCAAAAGCAAUGGGGUCUAGGCUGACUCCUCUUCUUACCACCGUUUUAGUGGUAUUUGUUGCUCUUGGCUUGCCUUCAGAAACUGUGGCUGAUUACUACAAGUAUUCAUCUCCUCCUCCUCCUUACCAUUAUUCCUCACCACCACCUCCUGUGCAUUCACCUCCACCACCGCCAAUUUAUAAGUCACCCCCACCACCUUACCACUACUCCUCACCGCCACCUCCAGUGUAUUCAUCUCCACCACCACCUUCGCCAGUUUACAAGUCUCCGCCACCACCUUACCAUUAUUCGUCACCACCGCCUCCGGUGCAUUCACCUCCACCACCACCUGUUUACAAGUCACCUCCACCACCUUCGCCAGUUUACAAGUCUCCGCCACCACCUUACUAUUAUUCGUCACCACCGCCUCCGGUGCAUUCACCUCCACCACCACCGAUUUACGAGUCACCUCCACCACCUCCUCCAGUUUACAAGUCUCCGCCACCACCUUACCAUUAUUCCUCACCACCACCUCCAACGCAUUCACUCCCACCACCAGUUUACAAAUCACCGCCACCACCUCCUCCUAUGUAUAAGUCCCCUCCACCACCUUAUCAUUAUUCCUCACCACCACCUCCAGUGCAUUCACCCCCACUGCCACCAAUUUACAAGUCUCCGCCACCUCCAAUCUACAAGUAUAAGUCACCACCACCUCCUCCCCCAAUUUACAA
rnacentral:lncRNA from 1 species